UCUUUUUUUUUUUUUUUGCUGUUUUCUGGGGGUGAAAAGUACCGGGAUAAGGAUAAUGAUGCUGAUGCCAUUUUAUAUUUUUAUAAAUAGAAAGAAGACGGGAGUUCUGUAGUGUGUGAUGGUAUAUAUUCUUGCAAACAUUUGAGCACGUAUUCCGCACCUUAGAGCCACUCCAAGAAUCUAAAAAAAAAUCUCUCCCAAAAUUAUCUGUUGGAGGUUUUAUUAAAAAUUUAUUCUCCCAAAAUUCUGUCAUCCCACAGCAGAUUUCCAAUAAUUAACUCUUCCAUACUUGAAAACUGGCCACACAGCAUGUGGAUCCCUCUGUUAGGCACCAGCAGCUCCCCCCUCCGACCUUUCCUGCAUCGGCCUAGGCGCGAUCAGCAGCAGACACCGACAGUAGCAGCCGCAGCCGCAGUAGCGCUGCCGCCAGUGCCAUCGUUGCCAAGCAGUAGCCACGACGAGGACGGCAAUGGGGGCGAGGGUGCCGACAUCCAUCUGCUGACCCCCGACCCACCGACGCCGACGCCACUACCCCCCGCGCGCACGGGCUCCGCCGCGUCCUGGGACAUCAGGAGCCACCGCUCCUACUCCUCCGAGGAGUAGUACAUGGCGAUGAACCGUGAGUUUACCACCAUGGUCGCUGUCGGGGCGACCAUGCAGACCGGCCCCAACGCCAACAGCGGCAGCGGGUACGACAACAGCGCCGUCGACAAGCUCACCAGCAUUGGCGAGGACGAGCUGAAGGAGACCAAAUCGCUGGCCAUCGUGCCAGACAGCCACCCCAUCGCGACGCCGGCCACGUCCAAGGCGUCCGGGCUGGAGGUGGUGCCCGCGGGGCCGCCGCCCCCGCCGCCGGCGCACGUGGAGGCCAGCCAAGUGAAGAAGGAGAAGGUAGAGACCAAGGUCACGGCGUGGCAGACGUUGGAGGUGGCCAAGAUCAACAACCGCUUCGAGCGGGAGGAGGUGGUCAUCAACAGAUGGGAGACCGAGCAGGUGGGCGAUUGGGGAAGGAUCGGACUCGCGCAUAUAUGCGGGGCGACGGAGGUAUUUUUUGCGUCCGCGUAUUUUUACGGAAAGGAUGGGGAAGCUAUUGGAGGUAAGUUUUUUUUGUUUUUCCCUAAAUAAGAUUUUGGGAUAAUUUUAAGGGAGUUUUUGGAGUUGCUCUUAGAGCAACUCCAAGAGACUGCUAAUCUUACCCCAAUAUCUUUUUUAGGAAAAAAGAGAGAAAAAAUGAACUCCAACAAUCCACCUAAACCUUCCCCAAUUUUUUAGCGACGCUAAAAAACAGCCUGCCACCACGUAUAUUUUAGCGUUGGCGUUCCUCCCCCAAUUCUGAUUCCCGCACGCCCGCCCGUCCCUUCCGAUGAGCCCAAUACGAUGACGUGGCCUGUGUUUGAAAUAUUAGGGACUAUUUAUUAGCGAUCUGCUGUGGACUGAUAUGUUUUUGGGGGAAAUUUUUUUUGGGAGAACCCCCAAUACAUAGUUUUGGGGAAGAAUUUUUUAGGAUACUCUUGGAGUUGCUCUUAGGGUGUGUUUGGUUGAGUUGUGGUUUUUGGAAAAACUGCUGUGAGCUGGGCUGUAAAAAAGCAGCUGUGAUAAAACAGUUGUGGGACAAGUAGAAGACCGUUUGGUUAGACCAACUGUGAAAUUGUAGGCUGUGUAACAAAUAUUUGUGUGUUUAUAUGCAAAUUACUCGUAACAAAAUAAUGUGUUCACUGAUUCGCAUGUAAAUGACUAUUUUAGAAAGAAAAAAAAUUAUAUGUUCUUCGUCCAUUAAAGGGAUUGGUUCACAUAAAUAGAACAAUAUCCAUCAAAAAUUCAGUAUAAUAAUGUCAUCAAACAUUACUGUCCUCUCGCACUAAUCAAAGCAUCACGAGUUACUCGUAGUCCUUUUUAUCCUCCUUUAGCUACAUCUCCCAAUUAACAUCGAAGGAAAAUCGCAAGCAACAAUCACCAGCAGUCAACAUCAAGACACCCUCGUCCAAGCAAGCUAGAGUGCAAUUAAGAUCGAAGGUCAGUUUCAGAAGUCAACUCAUCCAUGGCAUCAAACUCAAAUCGAACUGUUUAGAAUUCAGAUCCCGACAGGGCAAGAACUAUGCCUGUCUCUGUGAUUGUUGUUUUCUUACAUCAUCCAACAAAUAAUCCAAUGGCACUGAUACAUCGACAGCAGCAGCACCAAUUGUAGUGACAAGCAGCAGCUAGCAGCGACGCGUGAUCAGCGUAAUGCUGGCCGAAGAAGAGGACACGAUGAUGCAUCACGGGGUCAGGAAGGAUUCAGGAUGCCGCGACGGCGGCGGCAGCCUCGCAGUCGAAGCCACAGCGGCAGCGGGGGCUCACGGAGAACUUGGCAAGUGGGAACGAGGCCGAGAGAGGGCCGACGCGGAAGCUUAGCUGGUCGCCGGCGUGGUCGACCUCCGUGAUGCCGAGCCACACGAACAACACCUUCACGUUGACGCCCCGCAGCUCCCAGAUCGACCCCGCGUGCGCGUUCCCGACGAUACGCGUUCACACCAGAGCUGGUACCGGUCGCCGACGCGGAACUCGCAGCCGGCGCUGCUUCCGGAGAAGAACACCUCGAAGGAGCCGUCGGGAUGGAGCAUGUACCGUCGCAACAGCAGCGAGGAAGAAGAGGAGGUGGACGAGGUGGUGGUGGUUCUUGGCCAUAGCUACUGCUUCUUAGUCAAUCUCUUAGCUGGUGAGAUUCGGUGUCAUUGAGUUGCCGCCCGCGGCGAUCGGUGGCUGGCGGCAGUCUGCGUGCGACAGGCGGAGAGCGGCAGCCGUCCAUAGGUGGGCUGCGGUGGCUGUCCGGGGGCGGCAGCGGGCGUCCAGGGGUAGGGGGCCGGCGGGCAGGGGCGGCGGACCGCCUGGAGCACGCGGAGGAUGGGAAAGGUCCUGUGGGGGACGGGGGAGGAGCCGGACUGUUCAUUUUCGUGUGCGGGAGAGAAAUAGAUCGGGAGAAAACGAAAUUAUACAUCAUAACAGGUGGUAGGUGGGUAAUUCUUUACCCCAAAAGUACUUGAAAGGAGGGGGAAGAUGUGCUUUUGGGUUUGUACUACCAUGAAAGUUACUUUUGGGCAAAAGCAUUAGGAACCUUUUGGUUGACUUUUAGCUUUUGCAAAAGCAAAACCAGGUUGGAAAGUCCAACGAAAGGCACUCUUAGUUGCCGACUAUGCGAAAUCCCCAAAAUAAGGAACCGACUGCAACUAGUUAUUGAAAGGCAAAAUAGAGAUUGUGGUCUUUAAACUUUGCACCGGGGUCAAGUUCGUCUCUCAUCUUUGAGAUUGACCAUUUUAAUCCUCCAACUUCUGUUUUUAGUCAAACUCAUUCUUAUGUUGACGUGAUGUUUUAAAUUAGCAUGAGACUAAUGCUAAAAGUCACUUUUGUCCUUGGCUCUUGUAGAUCAAACAUUUAUGUGCUUCAUACUCUGUAUUAAAUAACAAUGCACGUGCGACACGCACGUGCUACAGGACGUGCGACAACUUGGGUAUCGCUGUUCUGUCUUCGGUAACCCUCCUACCUUCGAAUUUCGGAUACCAUUCUUCUCAGCACCUUCACCACUAAAAAACAAAACAAGGCAGGUUGAAUCUGUCAACUGAUACAGCCUUCCCCAUCUUGUGAAUUUAGGGUAUGACAUAAUAAACCAUUUAUCAACAUCGUCCUGAUACUCUUGGGCUCCUGGCUGAUUGCUUCUUUCAAAGCGUGCAACAGAUGUUAUUAGGGUAUAACUUACAAUGUAAAACAAAUUAUUUAUUUUUCUUCAUAGGUUUUCUUCACAAACUUAAAAUCCUUUUAUAGUCAUACCAACUAAUGAUGAAAGCAGAACCUGCAGCUAACCAAUUUGUUUUAACAGAUGUUGCUAUCAUGUUCAAGCAAGAGCACACAUAUUUACAAGACAAUGAAUUGGAUGUAGAGAUCAGCCAUGAAAGCAUAUGUGCGAGUAAACUUACGUUGCAAACAACAAGCGUAACAAUGUCCCUGCCUACAUGCAAAUGACAAAAGAUAAUAAAGCAUCACAAAGCUAAUAUUCCUACAACACCUUUUGCAAUAUGUAUAGGGAUAGAUCCCCAAUACCCACAAGAAAGGAAAAAGAUAGACUCCUACUACGAUUUUCAUGUAAUCCUACUAGAACUCAUAUCAUGUAAUCCUACUAGGACUCUUACCUUGUAACCGACUAUAAUCCCGCCUCCUGAAGUAUAUAAAGGAGAGCAGAUGUACCUAGAUUGGCAGAUAGAGAACCACAACAUAGGAUCAAAUUCUCGAUACAAGACAACAUUCAAGCGCAGGACGCAAUAUACAAUACCCUAAACAAGACAUUCAAGCGCAGGGCGCAAUAUACAAUACCCCAAACAGGACGUAGGGUAUUACACUACUCUGGCGGCCCAAACAUUUAUAAAUUCAUGUCUUGUGUCCUCACUUUUACCAUCAAGUUUUAGGUCCGACGAUCCCCCACCGACCAAUCUACUACCUCAUGAUACCCCUCGGUAGGUUGCCGGAUAUAAAACACCGACUGACGCGUCAGGUAGGGUUGAUCGUCGAGAUCAUCGGGCGAGCUUGAAGGACAUCAUCAAGAUCAAUAUGCUCUACAAGACAAGAACGUUGUUCUACCAUCCAAUCGACGACUCGGUGUGCAACUGCGUAGGAGUCCGAGGUGAAGUCGCCGGAUAGGCUAAUUCCGAGGUAGCAUCUGUUCUCGCCGAAUUGGAAUUCGAAAUGGAGUGCAGGAGUGGAGCAAUUCACCUGCCGCUGAUCGUCUCCAAGCAUCAAGAUCGAGAUGGAAUAGAAUUGGACGGCGUCAAGACGGAAUCCUACAGGUUCCUUAGUCAAGUUCGAAGUGGAGACCAGCUUUGUUGAUAGGAGACGGAAAAGCCGUUGUCCCCUCUGACGCUGGAAAUCAAUGGUGUAUUCAGCUAUGUGCACACCAAAAAAGCUACUAGAAAGACUUCAACUUGCAUAGCAACACCAACAAAUCUCAGACAAUGCGAUCGACUACUUCUGCGAGAGCAAGACAUCUACGCCGGCUCACUAACGACUACUUCAACUACUGGUCUCGACUAGAAAAAUAGUCGAGGACGGGCCUCGUACCGUCGACAACUAGUCAGAAUCAACUCCGACUAGUCGACUUCAUCAACAACCAUCACGGCUUCAUCAAUAAUCGUCCAUUAAUCAAGCUAAGUCACUUUAUUAAUAACUAUUUUUCUCUAGCUUGUUUUUAGCAUAACUGGUGAAUGCGUCGACUAUUUAUUUGUGUACGCCUCUUGACGGGAAUUACCCUUCAGAGCUACACUUCACCGAUUACACUUGGGGCAUGUUGACCGACAACCAUGGGCUUGUACACCGAAUUACGGAAGCUAUCGCCAUGGGUUUGGUGCACUGAGUUCCGAAAGCUCCGUCAUAGGCUUGGUACACCGAAUUAGGAGGCUCUGCCACAAAUUUUGGUGCACCAAGUAUUGGAGGCUCACAACGGCUACACCCUAGUGAGGCACAAAUCUUAUACGCGGCAACACGCGCUAUUCUCGCCAGAAGGCAGAGAAGUCUCAAAGACUACUUUACGUGCAAUCGCACAGUUUUUUUAUCGCAAUGUCAACUACUUAUUUUCAUUGUCUUCUCUUAGUGGUAACUAAUAUCCUCGAGCAGAACAUGUCUUGAUCUGUGAAAGUUUUGGAUAACGCUAGGAUGCGAGACAAAGAUCUCCGUAGUAGCAGUGCAAGUACGUGUACACGAGGCAAAGAUCUCACACGCAGUAGUAAUGGCUAAACAGGGACGGAGAGCCUAAACGUAAUAGGCUAACUACUCGGGAAAAAUAUGUUGGAAACAAGAACAUGACACACAACAUUUACAUUAUAUUCAUCACUAAAUAAAUUUCAGUAGUUUCAAUAUUCUACAAUAUGCUACAUAAUGUAUGCAUCUUUUUUUCAGAUCAAAUUUUGACGACGACUCUCCAGGACGCUCAGCGUACCUCCAGCGGCUCAGCUAGUUCCCAAACUCAGGGGCUAAGCACCAAUUACUACUCGGAAUACCUCCGGUAGCUCCGCUAGCUCUCAAGCUCGGAGGCUAAGCGCCAACAACUACUCGACGUGGCUCAUACGGCUCACCUGGCUCGUAAGCUCGGGGGCUGGGCGCCGCAAAACUACUCUCUAGACUCUUUGAUUGAUUAUUUAAUCAUUCCAAGGCUCGGGGGUUGAUAACCUACACCUAACAGUUGAUUUUUUCAAGACAUAGAAAGAAGAUUCAAGAUUUUAUUGACCCUCAACCUGAUUUUUCGAUUCAACAUAAGGCUCAGGGGCUACUCCAUAUGGAGUGCGACUUUCGCCGCUCUUCAUAUCAUAAUGAAAAUUACAAAAUCAAGCCGAUCAAGGGCUUGAGCAUACCAUAGCCUCAUGGCAUCUUUAAGGAGCUUUGAAGAUUCAGCCAGACAAAGUACUCAAGGAGCACUACAACUACUCAACGAGGAUCUAAAAAGUACUCGAAGACUGCUACAUUCGACUAUUAAGUACUCGGGGGCUUGUCGAGGAUAGAUACCCAGUACCCGCAAGGAAGGAAGAAGACAGACUUCUAAUAGGAUUCCCCUGUAAUCCUACUAGGACUCAUAUCAUGUAAUCCUACUAGCACUCUUACCUUGUAACCGACUAUAAUCCCGUCCCCUGGAGUAUAUAAAGGAGAGCAGGGGCAUCUAGAUCAGCAGAUAGAGAACCACAACAGAAGACCAAAUCCUCGAUACCAAACAACACUCAAGCGCAAGGCACAAUAUACAACAUCCCAAACAGGACGUAGGGUAUUACGCUACUCUGACGGCUCGAACCUAUAUAAAUCUGUGUUUUAUGUCCUCGUUUUUACCAUCAAGUUUCAGGUCCGGUGAUCCCCCACCGACCAAUCUACUACCUCAGGAUACCCUCGGUAGGUUACCGGCUAUAAAACACCGACAGUAUGGUCAUGCAUCUAUCUUUUUUCUCUUUUAUUUUUUUGAUAAAUUUGACGUGUAUAAAAGGGGCUCCAUGAUUUUACCCAAACAGCUAGGUUACAAGUAAAAUAAAUUGCAGAGAUUCAGGGCAUUAAGGUCUUGCAGUGGCUAAAUGCUGAUGACAACUACAGCUGAUUGACAUGGAAAAUAUAUUUUUUCAGAGAUGAAAGUACUGUAGGAAUUUUGACAACGGCAGGUAAAUCAAUUUCAUCCACCGCUGAACUGCAAGUGGUUCUGAUUCAGUUUCUGUUGAGCCUAGCUCCAAACAAACAAGACAACCAAAUGUAAAGAUCUGAACGAAGUACGUCGGUGCUGGAGCUAGUGGUGAGCACAUACUACGUGGAGAAGUUAUUAUCUCCAUUCUACGAACAAGUAGUAGUCUAUAUGCCAAGGUCUGAAGGUUGGUCUUGUGGCUAAUUUUUUUUAUACCCUAGUUCCAUCAUAUUUGUGGUCGACUCUUACUCAAACUGCCAUGCCGAACAAGUAGAGGUCUAUAUGCUAAGGUCUGAAGGUUUGUCUUUUGCCUAAUUUCUUUUUAUCCUUAAUUCCAUCAUAUUUGUGGUUGACUCUUCCUCAAACUGCCAUGCUCAAAGUUAUUGCCCUUGGAAAAUACUGAUUAUUGAACUUUCUAAAUGAAAAAUGAAAAAAAAAUCUCCCGCCUCUUUUUGACAGGAACUUAUGGCAAGUUUGCAAGGGGCCAUCAUUAUAGUAACAAAAAUCAGUAGCACAGAAUGUUCAUUUGAAAGGAGUUUAUCAGAUGGCCUAAAGGUAUUACCAAAUCAGCAUUCAGUUGCACUUAAUUCCAACAGUGUUUAUAAUUUUAGUUUUCUGAAAAAACUGAUAAUUGUGCACGCAUAUGAACUUGAGAACAGAUUGGUAGGUCCCUUUAAAGCUCAAUAACCAAAAUUUUAGAUAGAAGUUGGCAACUUGAAUUAAGUCUCGUCUAUGGUAAGACAAAAAUCCUUCCCAGAUUAUGGGCCACGGAAGGGGUUUACGGAUAACACAUCACGAGCAAUACCCUGAAAUCUAUGCGCAAAUCGACCUAAAUGAGGGUCAAACAUAACUGUACACCUCAAAUAAAAUCGAAUAACAUGUUUCAAGAUGCUCUAAAAUCAGUAAGCCUACUAAUUCAGUUGAGUCAGGGGGUGUUUGUUUUUAGUCACUCCUAAAAUUCCUGUCACAUCGAAUGUUUAGAUAUUAAUUAGGAGUAUUAAAUAUAGACUAAUUAUAAAACUAAUUGCACAGAUGGAGAUUAAUUUGCGAGACGAAUCUAUUAAGUCUAAUUAGUCCAUGAUUUGAUAAUGUGAUGCUACAGUAAAUAUGUGCUAAUGAUGGAUUAAUUAGGCUUAAUAGAUUCAUCUCGUGAAUUAUCCUCCAUCUGUGUAAUUAGUUUUAUAAUGAGCUCAUAUUUAGUCCUCCUAAUUAGCCUUUAAAUAUUCGAUGUGACAUAAAUUUUAGUCCGGACUAAAAUCAAAAAAACCCCUCAUGUACCCAUCCAUGACCCAGUUCCGCGUACAGGGAAGGAAGAUGAAGGGCAGGGGAACGAACUGACCCUGCAAUUGCCUUUGGCGGCAUUGUGGAAGGACCGAAGGAGUAGGUGGAGCCGGGCUGGUAGAAGGGGAGGUAGCGCUCGGCCAGGGCGAGGUACUCGCUCACGGAUUGAUCCCACUGGUCAUUGGUCGGUGCGUCGGAGGCAUCGGCGACCCAGGUGGCGAGGGAGAAGCGGGUGGGGACUGGGGAACGAUGUGGCUCUGACGAACACCGCGCCCCCGUCGGCCGACUCUGCAUUGGGGUCCUCCAUCGCCACCAAGAGCUUCACGCAGCUGUACCUCAGGGCCGUCGCCGGCGCGCCGCCAUGGUCGUUGUCGCCGAGACCAGAGACGGGAGGCGGCUGGUCGGGCACUGAUUAGCCAUUGGAGAUGACAGCGCCGGCGCACGGGAGGGCUCAGAGGACGUGUUCCGGCAAGAGGAGGUGAUUUCAGGGGCGACAAGAUUGACGCCUCGAUCCGCCCACCUCCGCUCGUCCCUCUCACCGUCUCAUGCGCGUGAUUCGCGGGCGGCGAGGGACGCGGUACCUCCUGCACACUGACCCGGCGCACCAACACAUCAUGCCAGAGGCAGACACCACCACAGCCACCAUGCGCCCGCCCCACCGGCCGCCGCCCAGCUCGCCCCUUCUCCCUAUGCCUAAGCGGCAUUCGCGUCGCCGGCGCCGGCUCCAGGACCCGCGCCGGAACCCUCCGCGGCAGCGGCGAGGGCGGUCCCGGGCGGCGAGGCGACAGGAGCCUGAGCCCCCCCGCUCAUCGCGGUGGUGGGCGCCGCACUGCUGGGGGGUGAUGUACACGCGGUACCUGGCGGCGGCACGGGGCUCGGUGGCGGUCGCCGGUGUGUGGGGGUGGGGGGGAUAAAAGGGAAUUUAUAGGCACGGCGGACGGGUUCAACGGCGGGUAUGAAAAGGUGCUGUGAAAAAAACAUUAGCUUUUUUGCAGAAACAUUUUCCAACUCGUUUUAUGGGUGCACCUUAUCCUCUCCUUCAAAUAUAUAACAGGUAGGUCCGACGUGAGGGGUACGGUGACCCCGAUUUGGGUGAGAAAGGUUUUCAAUUAUUUUCGAUAUUUAUAGUAUAGAUACACACAAUAGUAUAUUUUUUUAACUAACACAAAAUAAUAUGAUUUCUAGUCAUACUAAGUCAUACAUGUGCUUAUACGAAUUUGAUAUGCAAAAUGUAUGUAAUCAAACAAGUAUGUACUCAUAUUAUUUUGGUAUAUAUAUAAUUCAAUGUAUGUACGCAUGCUUUAAAAUUGAAAUUGACAUGUGCUCACAUGCUUAUGGCACAAUAUACAUGCUCCACAUAUAUAUUCAUACUCUCUCGAUAAAUACAUAUAUGCUCAUAUUUAAUUUGGAUCAUACUGUUAUUACUUCUAACGGUGGAAAUUAAAGAGGGAAAGAAAGAGACAAGGAUAUAAAAGACUUUUCGCACCAAUUUCAUGCUAAUAUGAAGCUCCAUAUGAGCACAAAGGACGAGUUUGUUCAAAAAAUAAAAGUUAAGAAAUUAGAUGGGUUAAUAUAGAAGUUGAGGGACGAACUUGACCAUUAAUCUUAUUGAAAUUGAGAACGUUGGCUAUCCAAAAUUUGAAUUGGCCCGAAAAAUGCUAGAAUUUGGCGUGCUGGAUAACGUUUGGUUAUCUUCACCGGGCAGCGGCAGGAGCGGGGCCGUUGGUGCCAGCCCGCAUGACUGUGACGCCACACGCCAGCACGUUGAAGCACCCCCGCCGCGCGCCGCGCCCUGAGCCCGUGAACCGAGCCGAGCGCUCCUUCAUCAGUUUCGUCCAACGGCCUGCGAGCGGCGGGCGCGAGCACGAAUCGCACACCUUGAUCAGCUUGGUGCGGGGCUGCUGGGAGAAUUCACGAUGGUUGGAGCUUCCGAAAACGCAGAGCCAGAUAGGCACGCAGGCACGUUAUCCAUUAUCCAAACUGUUUUUUUUGGCUGGCAGCGGAGAUUAGCGAGUCAAUGGGCGCCAGCCAAGCUACAGACGAAAUGUGCGGCCCUAGGGUAGGGCAAACGAGAUAGAUGAGCGUCUCCAGCGUGCUUUCAGCAGCACAUCGGUUUCGAGCCAGGCAGUCUUCCGGCAUGAUGCACGGCUGUCCUCCACUGCUAAACACAACGAAAUAGAACGAGAGAAAUACUUACCCCGUUUUCUUCCACUGACUUAUUUUUAGCACCCGUCACAUCGAAUGUUUAGAUACUAAUUAGGAGUAUUAAACGUAGACUAUUUACAAAACUCAUUACAUAAGACGAAUCUAAACGGCGAGACGAAUCUAUUAAGCCUAAUUAGUCCAUGAUUUGACAAUGUGUUGCUACAGUAAAUAUUUGCUAAUGAUGAAUUAAUUAUGCUUAAUUAGGCUUAAUAGAUUCGUCUUGCCGUUUAGAUUCGUCUUAUGUAAUGGGUUUUGUAAAUAGUCUACGUUUAAUACUCCUAAUUAGUAUCUAAACAUUCGAUGUGACACGUGCUAAAAAUAAGUCAGUGGAAGAAAACGCCCCCCUAGAAUUUUUUUUUUGGGCCAACGGUCCAAUUGUCCAAAUCACCACCAGAUUGAAAUAAAAGGAAAAAUCCUUUCAAGCUCUCUCAUCUAUGGCCGUAGUCUAAGUUUCAUCGUUCAUAUACAAAAUUGGGUAUCGGUCGUCCCUCAAGUUUUAAAACUGUUUGUUUUGGUCCCUCAGCUGUUUUGAAGAUGGUUUUCACACGAUGUGUUGCUGGAUCCCACAUGCCAGACAACAUGUGGUGAUGGGCCCACCCGUAAUGUGUUCUCUCUCUUCCUUAUAUCUUCCUCCCCUCCCGUGUACUUCCUGCUCCUUCCGCUAGGACACCCACGCCGGCAGUCUCCUCCCGGGCCGUCCACUUUGCCAAGUCACUGGACCACCCCGCCAGCCAUCUUCUACCACCUUGCCGACCCCAAAUUGACCAUGAGCACUCGUACAGGCUCAGCGCUGGCAUGACCGUACUAGCUUGGAAGGUAACCUCGGGUCCCUAGCCAGCCGUGUGGACAACGACCACAACCUCCUCACCUCGCCCGGCAAGAGCGCGCCGUGGCCAUGCCCGAUGCCGUUUGAGCACGGUGCCCACACACCGGCCUCCGAUUCAUCAUCCCCACCUCGAAUUCAACAUCCUUCAUCCUCCCCGCCUCUGAUUCGUCAUCCUCCGUAGCCUCAGACCUUGUUGCUUGCCCGCACCACCGCUACCCAUGCCUCGCCACAUCUGAACGCCUCGCCGCUUGCUCACUGUAGCCAUGUGCUUCUCAUGCUCGCACUUGCAUGUCGUCGCUGUCGCUAAGGAGGUUGGAGGCCUCGAUGUUGGGCAGCGCUACCGCUAUGGAGUGCCUAGGCACCACCGUAUCGGGGGCCGCUCAAGGGAGGAUAGAGGGAGGAGGAUGAAGAGAGAGGGGGAGGAAGAGAGGGAAGGAAGACCCACCACCACUUGUUGCCUAACAUGUGGAUCAAGCGCCACAUUAUGCGAAACCACCCUCAAAACAGCUAAGGGACAAAAACAAACGGUUUAGAAGUUGAGGGAUGACCGAUAUCUAGUUUUGCAUGCAAGGGAUGAAACUCGGACAAUAGCAAUAGACGUGGGACCUUGAAAGGACUUUUUUCCAAAAUAAAAAAGACACAACGCGUAAUUUGGGCCAACGGUCACAGGCCGUGGGCUAACAUCCUCUUCGGCCUGCUGCAGCCCACCAAAAUCAUAUAAUCCGCCGCAAGCCCGCGAGCUCCAUCAUCUACGGUCUACCGUCUACCCCUGUCCGGCCCACGUAUCCGCCUCUUCUUCCUCCAACCGCGACGUCCCCCCGAUCCAACCCUAACCCCUCCGUCCUCCACUCCUCCGCCCUCCGCAUCGCCACUUCGCACGCAGGCGCCGAACCCCCACCGCCUCCUUGCCGGUGCCUCCUCCCCCUACCUCCCCUCCCGGCUUGCGACUCCUCCCAUCGGCGGCUCUCCGGUGCGUGCCCCUCAUCCUCCCCCUUACCUGUACACGCCUCCUCCCACUUCUCGGGCGUUAAUUUCACCUUCCACGCUCGCUCCCUCUCUCUCUCUUCGCUUAGGGCUUCGCGUUGGUCGCGCGGGAUACGACUCCUACGUCGCGCGCAAUGGAGCAACACCAGACCGUUGCUGCCGGUGUCGAUUCCGGUAGCGCGGAGCCUGGUGCCGCAGCUUUCGAUUUGACGACCGCCAAUCCUGAGGCGAACGCGUACGGUCAUAAUCCACCGGCUGUCACCGGUGGGAGCGCCGUGACCCCUGACGGUGGAGCCCAGGCAGCUGAUGGCUCUGCCUACCCGGCCGAGCACGCGGCGUUGAAUGGGACGGCUGGCGAGAUGGCUAAUUACCAAUCUACAGAGAACGGCGCCGCAGUCACCAACGAGAUGGGCGAGCCGGUUCCAGAGCCAUCCUACGAAGAAGGUAAUGUUGAGCUUGCAAGCUCCCAUGAUUUUGAAUGUUGGGCAUGCACGCUUCCCUAAUUUAGUAUCCUACCUGCAGUUUGCUCUUAACGUGUUGUUUACCUUUUGCAGCUGCGGUUUCAGCAGAAGAGGCUAGGUUGUGGAGUGUUGUUACUGCAAAUUCCUUAGAUUUCAAUGCUUGGACCACACUUAUUGAUGAAACAGAGAAGAAUGCUGAGGUAAUGCUGGCUUGCUGAUUGUCCGUAAACCAUUCUUGACACUUUGGCUGUGGAGCUUGCUGUAUCUGCAUGUGUAGAGGAGCCAAUUUGUAAUUUUUACAACAGCUUGUGAAUUAUGCUAUUUCUUAAUUUCUUAAUUUGUAGAACAUGAGUUCCUGCAAUUAUUUCCUUGUGGCGGAUUUGUGGCAUAUUGUAAUUUUAUGCAUUUAUUUGGUAUAUGUUCAGCUGUAUCCUUGUUUCUCGUACAACGAGUUUACAAUCUUUAGUAAUUGCCUCUUCCUGCUACCCUGAUUGUAUAGUUUGUGAUCCUUGUGUUUCCUUCAGUUAAUUUGAACUUCGAACUGCAUGAUGUCCCUGAUACUUUUGGUCUAUCAUAGUUUUGUGUGUCUUUGUUGUUUCAAUAAAGUGCACUUGAUGUAACUUUAAUCUGAAUAAUCAGUCAUCAUAAAAUGGUAUUCUUUAUAUAUUUAUAUAAUGCAUGUUUUUAUAUAUUUUCAUCCAGAGCAAUAUUUUGAAGAUACGGAAAGUGUAUGAUGCAUUUCUUGCGGAGUUCCCUCUUUGCUUUGGUUAUUGGAAGAAAUAUGCAGAUCAUGAAGGUAGACUUGAUGGUGCCAACAAAGUUAUAGAGGUGUAUGAACGAGCGGUUCUUGCAGUUACUUAUUCAGUGGACAUUUGGUAUAACUACUGUCAGUUCGCAAUUUCAACAUAUGAUGACCCAGAGAUCAUCAGAAGGUACCAAUCCUACACAACGUUCAUAUUCUGAUGAAGUUUAUGUGCCUAGAAUCUCUGUCUCCUGGUUUAAUUUUCAAUGACUGGGGGUUUGGAUUUUUUUAGUAUUUAGGCAUUCCUGAUUAAGCUCUUUAGAAUAUGUUAGAGCCCUAGUUGUCCAAUCUGCGAGGCAGCAAUUUCCAUCUGCAAAUAUGAUAUAUUCAAAUUUCAUAUAUGUUAUCAGAGUGAUAUGUUUGUCUCUGAGUUGUAAUGGGCCUAUGGUCAAUAGCCUAGUACUAUACCUGCCUCUUAUUACUAAAUAUAAACUUUUUAUUCACCUUCUGUGGACUUAAAAUCUCUAUGCAAGCCAUUUCUUUUGAGCAAAUGUUAUUUUAUACUUCAUCAUUAGCUAAAUAGUUAUAUUUGACAUAAUAGCAUGCUUAUUUCAUGAAACAAUACUCUAGACCCGUCGUACUGCAUAUGGUCAUACUAGGUAUUUCGAAAAUUUUUAUGUCAAGAAUAAUGGUCCUUCCUAGACGUAAGUAGCUACUAGCGUUUGCACAUUCCAGUCAUCAUUCAUUGUGUUUGAUGUACUUCUUUUUAUCUCACUCGUUCCAUUUUCGAAUUAGCAACUUUGCUUACCUUUCAGUAACUUUACCCACCUUUUGUUUUUACAGACUGUUUGAAAGAGGUUUGGCGUACGUUGGAACAGAUUAUCGAUCCAAUAUUUUGUGGGAUGAGUAUGUUAAGUAUGAAGAAUCACUGCAGGCAUGGAGUCAUCUAGCUGUGAUAUAUACAAGAAUAUUAGAGCAUCCCAUACAGCAGCUUGAUCGGUACUUUAAUUGGUAAGUCAUUUGCAUUAAUUCUGUUAUUUAUAUGGAAGUUUGGAAGUGAAGCUUUCUUUUGUGCCUGUUAUUUAUCUGCAGCAUAAUAAAUGUUAGCUUUAUUGGCUGAUAAGUGGAUCAAGGCAACAUAUUAUUGACAACACUCUGCCAUGUAUGAAUUGAAAUAAAACACAUACUCCACCAUACCGUUUCCUCAUUUCAUAACCGUGCUUUUAAUUGCGCUUGAUAUUUUAAGUACUUGAAUUGUGAUAAUGAUAUAUAAUCUCAUUUAUGAAAAUACAACUAUGUAAAAAUUCUUGUUUUACUAACUGUUAUUUUUACACAGCCUCAAGGAAUUGGCUUCAACACGGGAUCUUUCGGAGAUACUGACUGCGGAGGAAGCUUCUGUGUAUGGUGUUGCUUCUGAGAAUAGUGCUCAGGUUCUUGAUGGUGAGACACAUCCUGAUGAUCCUGAUAAAUCCAGCAAACCUGAAGCAGAGAACCUUGCAAAGUAUGUCUCCAUGAGAGAAGAGAUGUACAAGAAGGCCAAAGAGUAUGAAUCUAAGAUUAUUGGUUUUGAGCUAGCUAUUAGAAGACCAUAUUUUCACGUCAAGCCUCUUGACAAUCCAGAGCUUGAAAAUUGGCAUAACUACCUUGAUUUUAUCGAGAAGGAAGAAGACAUCAAUAAGGUAUGGUUUUGCACUUAUAGCAACCUUUUGUCUUUUUUAUUUAGUAGAUUUUAUGGAACGUUUGGAAUCUUAUAACUUACAAUCCAGUCUUAUUGGCUCCAUUAUAUGCUGUAACGGCUAGUAUUUUGGAGAAGCUUCCUUUAUAAUGGGAUAUUGAACUGAGGAUAGAGCGUGGACAUAAUGUUUGGUUUCGAUGAGGCUAAGUACUCCAAACUUUCAUUUGGCAGUGGUCGUUCUGGGUUAAUGAUAUAUGGUACCAAAUACCAGUUGUUUGAAUUUUUAAUCUCAUAUAUGCAGGUAUUUGCUUAAUGCUCACCUUCUUAACCAUCUAUCUAUCAAGCAAGGAUGGUCCCUCCUUUCUUAUGGAGGGGCCUCCGUAAUCAGCUAAUGGAGUAAUCUGUGUGAACUUCUCUUUGUUUUUUGUCAAUACCAAAUUCAUAUUCCCUUUAGAUACCCCCUUUCCCCCCUCAUGCUUAUGUUCUCUGAUGGCACUUUCUACCUUUUCAGGUUAUCAAAUUGUACGAAAGAUGUGUUAUUGCAUGUGCUAGUUAUUCAGAAUUCUGGAUCCGCUAUGUGCAAUGUAUGGAGGAUAAAGGUAGUCUAGAACUAGCAAACAAUGCCCUGGCUCGUGCCACUCAUGUGUUUGUCAAGGUAUCACUUUAUAACUUGUAGAACAAUAUACUAGAUCCAUUUAUAUUUUUAUGCGCUUUAUGAUUUCAUUAUUUCUUCCUUAUCUGCUGUACUUUUUGUGAAUCUUUAUGAUUCCAUUAUUUCUUCUUUAUCUGUUGUACUUUUUGUGAAUCUACCAUCAACAAAGUUUGAAUGUGGAUGUAACCAAAUUCUAUGUCCACAUUCUUGGUCGUAUCUUUAACUGUUGUAUUAUGUCUUGCUUUUGCACCUCUUAGAUGGGUGUUUCUUUUAGUCCAUAUUUCUUAUUGGCAUGAACAAAUGCAAAUAAAAGGAACAAAACAGGAAGUCAAUUAAACAGCUGGAUAUGUUGACAAGCAUAAAAAUGUUAUACAUCAUGGUCAAUUUUGGUUUAUGCGAGCUGAAUUUUUUAUCUCAAACAUGCAACAAAUCUCCGUAUCUUUGUAUUAAAGGGAAAGAGAGAACAAUUGGUCCCUUACAAAAGCAACCGCAUCACCUCCAAAGGUGAGGCUUGAGCAGGUUGCAGAAACAACACAAAUCUAAUUGAGAAGAAAAACGUAGAUAAUAAUGUUUGAUUGUGUGCAGUACAACAUUAUGUAUGCUAAGUGGUUUUAGAUUUGCUGAUAGCCACAUCCUGUUUCUCUUUGAUUUUUUAACAGAAGCAGCCAGAGAUGCAUCUGUUUAGUGCACGCUUUAAGGAGCUUAAUGGAGAUGUUUCUGGAGCACGUGCAGAAUAUGAGCAUCUUUACUCAGUACUAUGUCCUGGCUUUCUAGAGGCCAUUGUGAAGCAUUCCAAUAUGGAGCACCGACUGGUACGUCUUUGAACAAAUAACCUUUUCUUUUUCCUUUUUAAAGCCUUGUAUAGUUUGUUUAAUCCACCUCCUGUUUGCAGGGUGAUGAUGCAUCAGCUUGUUCAGUUUAUGACAAGGCCAUUUCAACUGAAAAGGAAAAGGAACAGAGCCAGCUCUUGCCAACGUUGCUUAUUCAGUACUCACGCUUCUUAUUUUUGGUACGUGAACGUAAAAAAGUGUUUACAUGCCUGUCUGUGCUGUAUCAUCUGAAUCUGACUGUUUUGACUGAACAUUGUGGUUAGCCAGUAAAAAAAAAUUAAGUGCUCCAAUUUUGUCUGUUUGAGCUAGGAGAUGCUUUCCUCUCUCCUUUUCAUUUACUGUUUAUUCAGUAGUUGAUUGAGUGGAAAUUCUGGUAUUAUUCUAUUUCUAUCUAUUAUCCACUAUUUCAGUUGGUGGAAUUUGAUGUGUUCCUUGAAAUGUGUAGGCCAUCCAAGAUUUGGAAAGGGCAAGGGAUACCUUAACUGAAUUGCAUGAGCAAUUGAACAUAACAAAACCAGUUCUUGAGGUUAUGACUUUCGAUAUUCCUCUUCAUCUUUGCCCUUAAUCUGUCUAAUAGACUAAUACUACCUCUUUAUUUUGCAGGCUGUCAUUCAUCUAGAGUCUAUCUUUCCAUGUGUAAAGCGUAUUGAAUUUUUAGAUUCACUUGUGGAGAGGUUUAUUACACAUGAAUCAUCUCAAGGAGAGGGGUCAAGUCUAGGCGACAAAGAAGAAAUAUCUUCCAUAUUUUUGGAGGUAAUAAUCAAAAGCAGAGCCCUUCUAUAUUGAGUUCCUUCUUGUUUGGCUAGAUAACAUGAAUUCUGUGGUUGAGGUGGUGUUAGAAGUGUGAAGUAAGAUCAUUCCCUAAUGAAGGCCAUAUAUAAUAAUGUUUUCUUUAGGUGCAUUAAGUUAGUGUUAUAGUAUACAGUACUUAUGUCGAAUGGUUGUCAGGAUUUUAUGCUAUUUAUGCUCUUUGACUAUAUUUUUAGUGAAAUCAUCACAUACAACUGUUCGGUAGCAUUAUUUGUGUGCUCUUCUUUUGGAACAUAAAGAAUUUUGUGAGCGAUGGCUAGAGCUUCAAGUUGAGAGGCUGCCCACCCAGGCUGGAACCUGUGUGCUCGCAGGUCGUGUGAGUAGCUCCCUAAAAGGGCUAGGUACUCCCCCUCUCUAAGACAAAGCCAAGGGGACGUCACUUCCUGUGGUCUGUGUCUUUUUGGGUGCUCAUCUUUGGGAACAUGAAGUGCUUUCUUUUUUUGGAAAAUGUUUGGAAUUUUGGUUCACUGAGUCAUGUAGUUUUGCAGCUUUUGUCUAUGUAACGAAUUGAAUAUAAGCAGAACUCUCCUUAAAGUUAGUCUAUUCUUGAACCACAAUGAUCUCUGUUGUACUAUCAAAUAUGGUAUUCUGGUAUUGUUAGUGCUAUGUAAAUGAACUCAUUUCUUUUAUUUUUCAUUUGGAUUUUUCCAGUUUGAUACUUUAGAUUAAUGCCUCUUACAAAUUGCCUACAUGUAGUUUUUGGAUCUCUUUGGGGAUGCAAAGUCAAUCAAGAAGGCUUUAACUCGGCACACGGCUCUCUUUUCAUGUAAGAGAAGCAUUCUACCAUCAAAGAAACGGAAAGCAGAUGAUGCUAUUAUGUCAGACAGGGACAAGUUGGCUAAAAUUGGUGGUACUCAGCCAGUUAUGGGGACUGAUCCAAAUGCUCCCAAUCCUCCAGUUUGGCCCGCGACUUCUGAAGCAUCAGGGCAACAAUGGGGAGCUGGUUAUGCACCUCAGGUUAUAUAUUCAUAUAAAUUUGCGAGAUUUAGCUGCUUUAUAUACUUUUUCUUUGGUGCACUAAUCGAGAUACUGGGCAGCCUAUUGAAAUAAAAAGAAUAUGAGAUGGACAUUGUUUAAUCGUCUCUUUAAAUCUUCCCAGACACAAUAGAUAUAAAUUGUUAAAUAUCUCAAUGCCUCCUGUUAAGCCUACCUGAAUUUGCAGCUAUCAUCCACGUUUCCUAAGCUGACACUUUACUUGGAAUUGUUCAUCUGGUUUGGCGUGCUCUUUGCUAGAUCUAAAAGUUCAUUCCUAUUACUACUUUCACAACUAGGAGUUUGAAUUAUUGAACCUGGGGCAAGCUUUAGAUAUUCUUUUUUUUCAUUUGAAAAUUAGUCGCUUUUUUUUUGUUUGGCUAUAAUGAUGCUAUUAUUGAUUAACUAUACACUGUUGUUUAUUGAUUAAAAGGUCUUUUGCAUUGUAGGCUGCAUACCCUGCAUAUGGAACUUAUGACUACAGCCAUCAAAUGCCUCAGCCUGCUGCUCAAGCUGCUUAUGGUGCUUACCCUCAAGCAUACCCUGCUCAGGUACUGAAUUUGAUUUCUGCAUAUGUUUUGGAAAUGCUUCUGGAAAUUCAAGUCAAAGCAAUAUUCCUAGUGUCUUCCAAAAUUUGUUGCAAGGAAUGACCAUGCUACAGUCACACUCUUCCCACCAUCUAGAUUCCCUACAUAUAUCCACAUGCCCAAUCAGGAAAAUUACAUAAGGAUUUCAAUUUGAUGAUAAAAGGGAUUUCAUGGCAGAGUAAAAGCUGUUAUCAAUUAUCAUUUGGGUUGUAAUUAUCUUUUUUCAAUAGUUCUUUUCAGUAAAAGAAGCUAGUUCUUAGGCAGUCUUACCCAAACAUGGCGAUGUUAACUGGCAGUCAAGGUUAACGAUGGUAACUGAAGAUAGUUACUUCUGAUCUGUCAAACAAGUGAUACUCAGACCUAAUGGCCGUAACCUAUGUUUUGUUUAGUCAUGUCAUGUUUUUCGUUAUGUGUGUUCAAUCAGUAUUACCUCUAGCAGAUAUGAACCAGCAGUAAUUUAUGCUCAUGUAGAUUAAACCUGGUCGAAACCUUAGUCAGGUUUAACUGGAGCUAUCUCUUCACUUUCUGCUUACACUUGCCUCUUGGUUCGUGCACCUGGUAUACCUCAUUGUCCAGUGAGGUUCCCCCCUUAUGUUCACAACUACACUAACUUGUAAUGUGUUGAAGGAUGUCGUCUGAUUAAAAUUGCGGAUAACAUUUUGUAGGGCUACACACAACAAAGCUACGCACAACCUGCAGCAAUGGCAGCAGCACCAGUGCCCGCAGCGGCACCAGCACCGGCACCAACAGCAGCCUACCCUCAGCAACCUGCGGCAGCAGCUCCUCAACCCUACUAUGGCACAACCUACUACUGAUCUGUAGAGUGAUCCUGGAGACGGUGAGUCAAUGAGCCUGUUAAUCUGCCUUCACGCAUGUGGUGUUUCUGCAGUCUACUCGGCAGGUUAGCAAGUACCAGGCCAAAGGUAUCGCAAGGCCCUUUGUAGGGCUAGUGUUCCUCGAAGACGGUGUCAGCGUUGAGGUUUAACUUGCCUUUAUCCGGACGCUAUUUGCGGUAGUGCUACCGAGGAUGAUCACGAGUCCAAAUCUGAGAUUUGUAUAGUCAGAAUAUUAUGUUUGCGAGCAUCUGUCGCUAGGAAUUUUUCAUUCGCGUAGCUUGUCCGUCCUACUGUAACGCUAUAAUCGAUAUAUCGGUGUUCGCAAUGCUUAUGAAUUGCCAUCCCAUAAUCAGCACUGUUCGUGGUUCAUGGCCCAUUUGGAAUGUGAUUUUUCCCCGCUGUUGCUAUCGAUAUCCGGAUGCUACACGGAUUGUUGCAUAUAGAAUCGCGAUGCACGAAUAUAUUCAAAAACGUGCCGGGACAUUUUCUGGCGCCGCCACCGCGGCUGGCAAGAGGCAGAAUAUGUGCCCGACAGAGGCGGAUAAGCCGCGCUCGGUCGUACGCACCGAAAGAUGCGACAGCGUCACAGUUUUUUUUAUCUGAUAAUGCGUCACAGGAUGAAAUCGCGUCAUCGCAGCCUGAGCGGGCUAGCUGAUGAAGAAGCAAAGCGACAGCGCCUGCCCUUGCACCAGUGCACGACCGGCCGCAUCGGCGUCUCCACACCCAAAGCGCGUCGUCUCGUUUGCCACGGCGCCUCGUUUUCGCCGGCUCCGCUCGUCCCUGCGGCUCUGUGCCUAUAUCAACCUCCCUUGACCACCCAUUUCAUCGUCGCACUCUCGUUACACCCGUGCUUGGGCAGUCUAUUUUGUCCAGUGAGAUCGAUGCGCCUGACCUGUGCUCUGAACUAGGUACGUGAGCUUUCUUGUCCGAUAUCUACGUGAAAACAAAGUUCUGCAACUUCUUCAAUCUCCUAUGUCGUUCGGUCCCUUAGUUCACGCGAUUUGUUAUGGCAGAGCAGUCGAAUUUUUGUACCCUUCUGUUCAUCAAUCUACACUGAAACUUUACAGAGACUGACCAGUCUUCAAGACCACGCGUGGAUGAUGACAUAGAUAUCAAAUCUUAUUGUCUAUCGAGUGCAGGAAGCCGCAGGAGAACUGAUGGCCGAGAUCGACACUAGACCAUUAGAAUCCGUGCAGGCCGCCGUGGGCAUCUUCGACCGGGGAGGCGACCAGAGCAGGCUCAUCAGUCCGGACACAAAUGUGCGUUGAAUCCGCUACUUCCAACUUCCAUUUGAUCGUGACAAAACCAUUCACUUGCUGGCGAAAACGCAGGAGGAAGAGAUCGCCAUCCUGACCAAGGAGCUCGCGGCCUGCAAGCUGCAGCUGGAGGUCCGAGAGAGCCAGCACAAGCAAGCGGCCCUGGAGAUCGAGGCCCUCGAGAAGGCCGUGCGGGACCUCUCGGACCAGUACGAGAGAGACCGCGCGCGCAUCGCCCAGCUCGAGGCCGAGAACGCAGCGAUCGCGAGCCGGCAGGCGGCGGCGGACGGCGAGCGCGGGGCCAUGCGGGACGAGCUGGCCGCCGCGAGGGCCGAGCUCAGCGAGGCCAGGGCGUCGGUCGCCUUCGUGCUGCGGGAGGUGGAGGCGAUGGAGACGAGGGCCAUCCUGGAGCGGGAGAGCACCAGGGACGCGCUGGCGCGGAUCCUCCGGCUCAACGAGACGGUGCUGUCGUCGGCGGUCGCCGCAAUCAGGGCGGAGGAGGAGAGGUCGUUGUUCUUCCAGGAGGCGACGCUCGAGUUCUUUAACUCUGACAGGAAUCUGGAGGUGGUGAGGAGGCAGGUGGAGAUGGCGGAGAGGAUGGAGGAGGAGCUGCUGGCGAAGACGGUGGAGAUCGAGUACCUGCGGUCGGAGCUCCAGCAGGUGAAGGAGAUUUACGUGUUGCCUGCAGAAAGUUCUGAUGCGACAACGGUGAUAACAGCUGCUGCUGGCUGCAACAAUUUUGAUGAACAUGAUCAGGUGCAGGCAUGUGAAUUAGGAGUGAGAGAUACUGAAGCGCAAACGGAAUUCACGUUUCAGCACUCUGCGGAAGAAUGCUUUGUUUCUGAAAUCUUCAGAAAUGAUGGCCAUGUUACAACGUGUGAUGAAACCAAGAUGGAAAUCGAGGUAUCCGAGGAUGUAGCAGAGGAUAAGCAAGGAGCAGAUGUUAUGGUUCAGGACACGACAGUCCUUGAAGGGAACUCCGAUGAUCAAGGGACAAGUUGCCUUGACGCUGAGAUCUCUGGAGAAGAUCACAAUGCCAUUCAAUCAGACAGCAAAAAUAUUUUAGCUGAAAACAAUCAAGAACCAGCUGAAUCAGAUAGCGUGCUUCCAAACUCCACGGCGUGCCAAGGUAACGAUCUCCACCUGCAACAUCACGAGGAGGCCAAAGCAGACGCCAGCUUUGUCCUCGAGAGCUCGAGGGACGAUUUCCAGAGCGUGCACUCUGACGCCAAGGACACCAGCAUCGCCGAGCCUGGAAACGUCGCGAUCGUAGAAACCCAAGAACAGCGAGCAGAAGCCUCCGCAGCUCCGACCUCCACGCCGCGCGAAGGCAACCCAGACACUUGCGUCGUUGCCACGGAGAUCGUCUCCAAUCACGAUGACGAGUUCUACACGAAGGAGCUGGAGCCCGAGCGGGGGCAGGGAGGAAGCAAGCUUGACGGGUACGUGCUCGUGUCGAAGAGCGGCGACGGGGACGUCGCGGCCAGGGACAAGCAGCUGGACGCGGCGCGCGCGGAGAUCAGCGACCUGCGGUUCAGCCUCGAGGAGGCGGUGCGGCGGGCGGAGCUAGCCGAGGAGGCGAAGGCGGCGCUGGAGCGGGAGCUGAGGGAGGAGCUCCGGAGGAAGCAGCAGCAUACCCCCUUGCGGCGGCGUGCGCCGUCGGAUUCGGAGGACGGCGGGCGCCCGGCGGCCCUCGAGGGGGCUCCUCCGACGCCCGCGCGGACGCGGUCGACGCCGCCUCACGCGCCUUCUGGGACGACGCCGUCCACCGGGGCGCUGAGAAAUGCCAGGCCGGGAGGGGAGGACAUGCCGACGCGCGGCUUGACGCUGGGAAAGGUGCUGAACAUGAAGUACAAGUGAAUGUUUCCAUUCCCCAGGUUUUGUUCUGUAGAAAUGGCUGCUGAUCCCUGUUGAGUGUUGAAGGUUCACGACUCCAUGCAUACUCAACAGUGCUUUUCCAUUGCAGGAUUAAUGUAAUUGGAAUUGUUCUAUGUGUUUGAUCCUCCGGCGGUGAAUAUAUAUAUUGUAGCACUAAAUUAAUUGGUUGCUUGCUAUCUGAUGGUGAAUAUAUACAUUGCAGUGUAGGCAUCUAGCUAUCCAAUAAUUAAUUCAUACUACGCUCUCAAAAAAAUUAAUUCGUACUAGAUGCCUUGGUGCUAUUUAACGAUGCCCAAAGCCCCCAAAAUGUCCUCACAGCACCAGCCACACCUCCGUCUCAAACUGAAAACCCAACUGGAUCCAAGCCUGCCUGAAACCUCACGAAAAUCAAUGAGGACCUGCAGCCUCCUCGUCGCCAUUGCCGCCGCCAUCUUCGCCGCGGCCACCACCCCCGUCACGGCGACCCUGCAUGGGGGUUGGGGAGUUAUCCCCGACGUCGAGGACGCUCACGUCCAGGAGAUCGGUGCGUGGGCGGUGGCGGAGCACGUGAAGCGCGCCAACGACGGGCUCAGGUUCAGCAAGGUGGUGAGCGGCGAGGAGCAGGUCGUGUCCGGCGCGAACUACCGGCUGGACAUCGUCGCUGUGAACCUCGCCGGACAGAACGCCACGUACAACACCGUCGUGUACGAGCAGAUCUGGACCAACACGCGCAAGCUCCUCUCCUUCGACCGGGUCAAGUGAGCGAGCGACAAUCCGUAAUUUUAGCAUGGAGAGAUUAGGUUGUGUUGAUCCAGAAUUUUGGAUGUAAUAAGAGAUAGCGACCGUGCUAUCCGGGUUUUAUGGGACACCUUGUCAUGGUCUUAGUCAUUAUCUACUGAAUUAUGGAUAAUUUCAGGGCUUGAAUUGUAUGGAUCCACCCAAGUUGUGAAAAUCCAGCUCUUGUGAUCCCUUAGAUUGAGGUCCAGCUCUGUUGUAUGUUGUUUUAGUUUGUUUACAUCUAGAUAUAGUGCAUGUCUAGGUGUCUAAUAAUAUCUAUGAACCUACAAAAUUCAAAAUGACCUGCAAUUUGGAACGGAAGGAGUAUAAUUUAGCUUUCGCGAGUCCUUUGUCCUAAAAUAUUAUUCAUUUUGACUUUUCGAGAUACAUAAUUUUUACUAUAUUUCUAAAUAUUAUAUAUAUAUAUUUAAGUGCAUAUCAAAAUUAUAUAUUUAGAAAAAUUAAAAUGAAGAAUAAUUUGAGUAGAAGUAAUUAUAAUUUAGCUUUCACAGUCUGAGGUGGAGGUGGACCUAAACAAGCCAUAGUAAAGGAAUGUACUCCACCAAAAUAAUAGCAUGGGCGAGCAUGUAAACACAAGGAAAACUAAUUGCCGGCCCAAGAACAUCCCGGAUCCAGCCCAGCAACACGCCAACACUUCCAAUCCACACACUGUUCUUCUCACGAACGCACGACCCAAAACCCCUUCCACAUCCAUCUCCUCCUCCGGUGUCGACCGCCAUGGCCGCCGGGCGGGCCUUCCUCGGCGCCCCCUGCUCCUCCCUCGCCACUGGUGCCCGCCGCCUCGCCUUUGCUUCGCCUCCGCCCCGGGCGCUCGCCCCUGCGCUCCGCCGCCGCGUCGCCGGCCGCUGCGUCGCCCCCGUCUCCUCGUCCCCUGACGCGGCCUCCGCACCGGAGCCCUACGUGCUCACCACGCCACUCUACUACGUCAACGCCCCGCCGCACAUGGGAAGCGCCUACACGACCAUCGCCGCCGACGCCAUCGCUCGCUUCCAGGCAAGCCUUCUCCUCGUACGACUGCAAUCGCUGUGUUUUCGAUCAGUUUGGGGUCGGACUUGGGAACCUGCACGAGUAAAAUGGUUUCAAUCCGCACAUCCGCGGCCCGCGGGUUGCAUCAAUUUCACUGCAGCACUAAUAUUUAACAUACAUUUUUGCAUAAAGUAAUGCUUUACAAACAUGGGUCCAAAAUACAAACACGUUUUGUUAAGGGUCAUUUGUGGUACUGUGGUAAAUGUAUGACGCGAUUAAACGUUGGACGAUCAGGUAGUGAUGCACCACUCUGUUGCACAUGCAUUUCCCGGAUGGAGAGAGAGAUUCUAUAUUUUCCAUAAACUCUAAUGAGUUCAUUGUUAUAGCUUCAUACUAUUUCAGUUUCUAGCUGCACUCUCGAAGAAGUUUGUUAGGUUUACAGUGUUACUGUAAUGGACACAACAGUGUGGUCUGCUGCAUUUUACAUCCAGUUUGCUGGAAUUACCAGCUCGUAUCAUUUGCCCAUUUAGCUUAAGCUAAUACUCGAGUUCAGUUGCUCUCUGUUGAUGAUGCUUCUGUGGUUGCAGAGGUUGCUAGAGAAGAAGGUUAUAUUUAUUACUGGAACAGAUGAACAUGGUGAGAAAAUCGCCACUUCAGCGGAGGCUAGUGGUAGAAACCCAAAGGAGCAUUGUGAUGCUAUUUCAAGUUCAUAUAAGAUGCUCUGGGCUGAUGUACGUCCAUAAUACCAAGUUUCAGUUUACAUUGCUGUUGACAACAGAGUAAAUCAUGAGCUCACUUCAGUCCUCCAAAUUUGUUUCACAUUUCUUGCAGUUAGACAUAGAAUACGACAAGUUUAUCCGCACAACUGAUUAUAAGCAUGAGGCUGUUGUCAACGAAUUCUAUUCUAGAGUAUUAAACAGUGGUGACAUUUACAGAGCUGACUAUGAAGGACUUUAUUGUGUGAGCUGUGAGGAGUACAAGGUAAGCUUCUUUCUCAACCUUCUUAUAUAGUACUAAGCCAUUUUCAAUCAAAUAUGGCAGUACAAUUAAAUAUACUAAUCAAUACAAAUACAUUUGAUUACUUCCUGUGACAUUUUAAUUCAUGUUACCUACUAAGUGGGUUUGCUUUCCUAUACUUCUUUUUUGGUUUUACAUGGAUAAAGAUCUUGGCUAUUUAUCCAUUUUUAUGGGGGACUGAUGCCUAUGCCAGCUGCCAUGCUUAAUCUGUCUUAAGGGCAAGUUUGGAUUAGCUUUUUGGCCCUUAAAAAAAUUAGAUGCAAAAUAAACAGUGCGAAAGUCCAAGUUUUUUUGCUAUGCUAAUGAAGAUAGGGGUGUGCACUAUAUUGUUAUGUGAUGAUGUAUUUUAGUUUCCUAAUUGUUUUAUGUAGGCAAUUACAUUAUGCCAUGUGCACUUAAGUAUGUUGGCCUUAUUUUCGUUAUUAGUACUUGUAAUAAUGUUUCGUUUCAACUGGAUGCAGGAUGAAAAAGAGCUAGCGGAAAACAAUACGUGUCCUGUGCAUUUGAAGCCUUGUGUAGCAAGAAAAGAAGACAACUAUUUCUUUGCCUUGUCAAAAUACCAGCAUAAGUUGGAAGAGCUGCUGGCAAAAAAUCCUAAUUUUGUAAGGCCGUCACAUCGCUUGAAUGAGGUGAGAUUUUUAUUUUUGUUUGUAUAUGGUUUUGUUCUAUCUUUCUGUGACUAUUGAGUUACUGUGCAUCAAUGCAAAUUGUGGUGGAAACUGUAGAUCGUUUGUACAAAAAUGCAGACGUAUCAGAUGAUUUGAGCACAUACAAGGUAAAAGUCUUAAAAAGAUGAAUUUGACAUAUUAAUUCAUGAAGCUUUGCCACUAAUUUUGUUGACAUGUGCCUUAAUGAAGCUUUGCCACAAUUUUCUUGAUUAUGUUUGUGUUGUCAAGUACGUACUAACCAAACAAAGAAAUUUCAUUGGGUAAGGUGUUGUUGUCGUGUUGAAUAAAAAUCUAUGCUGUACAUUUUCUUAUAAGUAUCGUGUCAAGUAGUAACUCCAUUGAGAUCCUGACUAGGUUAAAGAUGGAAACUAAGAUGACAACAUUUACCAGAUCGGGAAAAAAGAAAACUGCCAGCAUUGCUUUAUAUGUAAAAAAGGAGACUCAGUAGUUAAUAGAUAGUGAAGGGGCUCUGUGGGCCACAAUUGUUCCUUUGUAUACUGUGCAGUUAGAUUAAUACAUCAUUGAUAAUGAAUGUAAACCAAGCCUAGUCCUAGCGUUUGAAAAUUUUUCCUUACUGUUUCAAGGUAGGCGCGCUGACUCAUAUGGGCAUUAGUGCACGUGCAUGUCAAGCGAGGUCUGACCAUAGUCUUAAUGUUUUCCAUGUAACAAAUUCCGCAGUCGUUUGAAAAAAAGGGCUGGUCAUCUUAUUAAGUCAGUGCCGAGAUCAUAUUUUAUUUCUAUUUGAUUAAAUUUGCAAUAGGAAGUGCACCGUUAUUUUCUUGCAUGAUGACAAUAUCAAGAAUAAAUUUGUUUCCUGCUACUGCAAGUUUAUCCAAUCCCUUAUUUACCAGUUACCACUGUCAGACAUCAGUGAUCCAGGGGAGCCCCAUGUGUUGUUGAGACAUCGAUGGAAAACAAGGGAUUUCAAAACUUUGCAAUGGCAAAUAAGGAAUUGAAUCCAAUAUCUAAACCCACAAAUGUUCAACUCUCCCAUUUUGAGCAAAAUAUUUAUAUUUUAAUUUCCAGCUACAGCAUAACCUGGGUAGUUAGGUUGCUUCAUUACUUAUCAGUCUUGCUGUUUGAACAUGCUUAUUUUUAUUGUUUUAGAAUAUACAUGUUCUUUAUUCUAUCUCAUGAAGACACAGCUUGUAGGUCCAAGGCUGGAUUAAAAGUGGAUUAAGAGACUUUUCUAUUUCCCGUGCAUCUGUAGACUGGGGCAUUCCGGUGCCAAAUGACACCAAGCAGACAAUAUAUGUGUGGUUUGAUGCUCUAUUAGGGUAAGUUUCUCGCUUCAUGCCUGCUCAUUUGCACAUGACCACACCCAAAAUUGCCAACUUGCUUCUGUUUGUAAGGUAUAAGAGUCCAAUGAUAACCUGACGACCAUGUUUACACUUUUGGGAUGCUCUGAAUUCUUAGAAUUUGUUAUUUUAGAAGGAUUACUGCUUGUUGUUUCCCCUUGUAAGUACUGGAGACUAAUUGCUUCGAGUUCAUCUGAAAGUCUCACUGAAGGCUCUCUUAAUGGUCUUCUCUUUCUAUGACACUGAUUAACUGCUUUUUUAGUAUUCUCUGUGCUGUUCACGUAUGUUGUGUUGUGUUUCAUUGUGCUACAGAUAAUAAAGUUCCUGUGUGUGUGUCUGUUCUGGCAUAGCCACAUGUAUGUUAAAUUUCAUAGUAGACAUAGCCACAUGUAUGUUAAACUUCAUAGUAGACAUAAUAAUCCAUUUUUAUAUUUGGCAUAGCCACAUGUAUGUUAAUAAUCCAUUUUUAUAUCAGAUACACUUUACUACUUAAGCAUAAUUUAGCCUAUCCGUGCAAUGGAAGAACAGCGAGCUCUUGGUCUUUAUUACUCUGCUAUUUGAUUGAAGACUUGAGUCUUGAAAUGGGGAUGAAGAUUGUAUCUCUUUUAGAAUUCUUAUUCCCAAAUCCAACAACUCAACCUACUCUUUGGUUUCAUUUUGUUUGACUAUUACAUGUUUUUGUCUCUGUAGGUAUAUUUCAGCAUUACUAGAUGAUGGUGAGCAGGCAAGUUUGCAGCAAGCCAUUGAUCGUGGUUGGCCUGCCUCCCUCCACUUGAUCGGAAAGGUUUAUUCCAAGCAUUUUUAUAGCAUUUUGAAGCAUUCAUGUUCUUUUACUGUGGGCUUCUCUUCUCAUUCCUAAUUAAUACAUUUAUUUGGUUGCUUGAUAUUUUCUUUUGAUGAUAAGGAACUCCUAUAAAUGGAUAUGAACUUGUAUAGUACCAGCCUACUUGUUGGGGUUUAACUUAUCUUUUUAAAGGAAAAAAAUACUGUUAAUUGCAAAUGAUAUAUUUAAAUUAAGAAAACAGCAUGAACUCUUUUCUGUUCUAUAGAUGAAUCAACUAACAUCACUUGGUGCACCUAGCUUUUUUUUUUUUGUACAUGGAGAAAUUUUUCACCCACUCCAUCUUCCUAUUUUUAAAAUAGAACCCAGUUUAACCUUGUUUACAUUGAGUCCUGCUUCACAAUCAUCUACUUGGGGCUUGGGAUAAUAAAACUCUGAUGUGGUAUGGUAGCUAAGUACUGUUAUGGCACAAAAUCUUGAAAAGAUCAUUGGCAUAUUGGCAAAUUUGAUAAAACUGUUGAGAACUUGAGUGGUAAGGUCCCAGCUGAAACAAAUUUGUGAGAGGUAGCUUUUAGUUUCUGAAACUGACAAUACUGGUACUUAACUCCACAUAGAAUAGAACCUUUGUUCUUGUAUGUUAAAUCUAGUAGCCUUUUAUUUGUCUUCCAAUGCCUGUAAACUUGCAUUUCAUUUGUGCUUGAGAACUGUCUUUUAAACAUCUGUACUUUUUUAUAUUUAUAUAUUUAUUUACUGCUUAGAAUAUUGUCUCAUUCCCUCUCCACUGCGAAAUGCAAAUUAAGCAGUGCUAACAUAUUUUCCUAGAGCUGGUCAGUAAUGUAGGGCAUUGAUACAGAUGUUCAUUUUACAAGCAAGAAUACUGGAGGGACUUCUGAUUUUUUUUAAAAAAAUUGCCCCUAGAUUACGGUUUGUGAUGAGGUUGUGUUUGUGUGCAUGUACUUCAGGACAUAUUGCGGUUCCAUGCAGUUUACUGGCCAGCCAUGUUGAUGUCAGCAGGGAUAAGUGUUCCUGAUGCAGUUUUUGGUCAUGGCUUCUUGACAAAGGUGAAUCUUACUUAUUUUGAUGUUUCUGUUUCCAUUUCUACAGCCCUGGCAACAAUAUAACACUGUACCAUAAGUAAAUAAUAAUGAGGGAAAUAGUAAUCAUUGUGUAUAAAGCCAAAGAGAUUAUAACAAUUUGAGGAUGGCCUAUUUCUUUAAACUUCAUUUCUGUAAGAAAGGUAGCUUCAUCGAAUAACUUUUACUUCAUGCACCAUUGCCUUCUAUUUUCGAAAUUGUAGGAUGGCAUGAAGAUGGGGAAGUCAUUAGGCAACACUCUUGAACCAAAAGAUCUGGUAGAAAGAUUUGGUGGUGAUGCUGUUAGGUACUUCUUCUUGCGUGAAGUAGAAUUCGGCAAUGAUGGGGACUAUUCAGAAGAACGCUUUAUCAAUAUCGUCAAUGCUCACCUUGCUAACACAAUUGGUAUUUCUACUCAAGUAUCUUUGUUUCUGUAACAUGUGUAUACUCUUUAUGUGUGCUAAAAUUUAUUGUGCCUUUUGCCUUCUUUCUUCACACAGUGUUCCUUAUUUGUGUUAACUAUGCAUCUUUAUGUGUUAAUAAUGAUAUCAUUUUAUUCAUUUGAAUAGGAAACCUCCUUAACCGCACACUUGGGCUUCUAAAAAAGAACUGUAAAUCCACACUAGCGGUUGACUCAAUUGCUGCAGUGGAUGGAGUACCAUUCAGAGAAAAUGUAGAAAACCUGGUAAGUAGGUCUAUCAGAGGAGUGGAGGAUUUAACGAUAAACCAUGAGUUUUGGUUGAAUGUAGAGUCUGAUAUGUUUGAAACAGGCUGCAGAAAGACUUAGUAAAUGUAAGUUCUAAAUAUAAAUACAUAUAGAAAUUUGUUUUAUAAGUGAAAUAAUUCCAUAUUAUACGUCAGAAAAGCUAAAACUUAAUAGUAAUGAGUUGCUCUCUAGUUUACAAUACCAUAUGGUUGGUUUCUACUCACAUAAUCUUUUUGGUAUACAUCAAGACUACAGUAAAUGUGUAAUGCUCUUGUAAGUUUUAUUUCUUAGCAUAUGGCAAAUAAAGACAACAACCAUUGUCAUACUAGGUAAACUAGUUAUAAUUUAUGGAUUAAUUGUUCAUCCUGUUAAUAUGUGGUGAAGGUUUUUUUUCUUUGUAUUGACACUAUGGGUUGCCAAUCAUGUGUUGGUUUGAUCUGUUGUCCGGACCCAUGAUACAUCUGGAUGUUUCAGACCAUCGUCUACUAUUAUAUGCGUAAUAAAUACCACAUAUUUGUAUGUCCUGUUUUUUUAUUUGAGCGAAUAUUUGUAUGUCCUGUUGUGUAUCUGUUAGCAUCACAGGGAAAAUUAUUUAUACAGGUGGACAAGGCAAAGCACCAUUAUGAAAAUCUUUUGCUGUCAUCAGCAUGUGAAUCUGUUUUAGAGAUUGGUAACCUUGGAAACUUGUACAUCGAUGAGCAAGCACCAUGGUCCUGUUUCAAGAAAGGGGGUGAGAGUACUGAAAAAGCUGCAAAGGUGACGAUUUGAAACUACUGUUUAAGAUAAUUUUUUAAUGAUCUAAAUAAUGCUAUUUGAUGUGAGACAUUGAGCUACUCAUUAACUGACUACGUUAUUUGUUCUGUUGUUAAAUAUUUGGAUGAAUUAAUGUAUAUUUAUUAUUUCAUCUGUUCUUGGGCAAGUUAUGCUACACAUAUUUAUGAAAUUACACUUAUCUCACAGUAUUGAUGUUCGAAAGUCGAGUGGCAUUAUAGUUAUGACCUGCUCUCUUAAUUCUGUCUCCUCUUAUCUACAGGAUCUUGUAAUUAUUUUAGAGACAAUGAGAAUAAUUGCAAUUGCACUAUCUCCUAUCACCCCAAGCCUUUCGCUGAGGAUUUAUACACAGCUUGGUUUCACUGAAGACCAAUUUAGGGUAUUGAGAUGGGUAUGUUCUAUCGAAUAUAUGCUCUGAUGUCAUUUCCAUUUCUUUGCAAUAUUUUAUGGCCAUCCUCCGAAAUACAAUCUAACAUCCUCAUAAUGCAAAAGGUCAAAAGCAUUUACUUCAAAUGUGCCUCAAUAUUCGUCCUGAGCAUGUAAUUUUUGUCAAUUAUGUUCUUAGGAGGAUACGAAAUGGGGAGGCUUAAAAGCAGGCCAGGUAAUGAUGGAGCCAAAGCCAGUCUUUGCAAGGAUAGAAACUGAGACGGAAGCUGAAGCUCAAGCAACUUCAAAGGCUGCAAAAGGUGGGAAGAAGAAAGCACAAAGUAAAGGUCUCGUAGAAGCAUAAAAUCACUGAUGGAGUAGCCUACUUGUUCCUAGCCAAAAAAAGUCACAUAUUUUAUUGUGUAGAUAACAGGAAAUCACCUGCAAUUCAAAAGCUCUGUCAAGGCAUGGAGCAUCGUGAGAUAACUGACUUUCAGUUUUCUUAUCCCAUGGGUUCCAGUCUAAUGUAGUACAACUUUUUUCCCAUUUGAAUGAGCCAGCAAGAGUCUUGUCGGAUUACAACAUUUUUUUCCUGCUUUGGGAGGUUUGGCUCAGAGAGAGGAGGGCAGAAGAGAGAGGCUGAAACGAAGAAGAUAAUCUAGUGGCUCAGCUUGGGGCUGGAGGCGACUCUAGCGCGUCAAAACCAUUGCCACCUGCGCCCUCCAUCCAGAACAAAAGUCAGUCUAGUUUUCUACUAGGUCAAAAAAAAGUUUGAAACGGAGGGAGUAGGACCUUAUCUGUUCUAGCAAAUCUUUGAUGAAGUAUAGAACAACAAAUAUAACCAAAUUCAAAACAUGGAACUCCCAAUUUCUUCAAAGAUGUCAUGUAUGGACUAUACACGUCAGCAAUCAUGCAGCACCAGACACAAAAGGCAGCCGGCAACCAAGCGGAAGGACAUGUAGCAGCAGGUAACUCACAGCAACACAGUUCAGGAAAGGGACUUGGACCACAUUGGCACAUCAAACACCUGAUAUAUGUACUACAUGCAAUUCACAUACCUCAGCCAUGUUCAAUUCUACAACGAAGGAAAUGAUACAUGGAUAAAAACAAAGUUGCAGUUGUUGAAGUCAUCCCUGAAAUUAGAAAACUGAUCGCAAGCCAGUAUUGCUAAAUUCUGAAGUUUGUAAAUGGAGGAUCAAAUGCUAUACAAAUCAAAAUAAAAUCAUGUAAAUGCAGACAGAACUAAUCUGUCCUUGACAGUUACAGAUGAUGCUAGUUCUCAUUUCAAUAGCGUAUUCUUGGGUCUUAAGAAAACGAAAAAUAUGCAAAAGAACAUGCAAAGUAAUAAUGUCGAUUUACUGGGGGAAACCGUCGAAAUAGCUCAAUGCUAAAAAAUUUUGUUUGGCUCAUGGUGGAGGAGCCUUACAAGCAUCGCUUCCGGGAGUGGAUGGUGGUGCAUGACCAAUCAUUCCUAGCCGAGCACCAACGGAUUUAUCGUGAGAUCUAGAACACCACUAUAUCAAUAUGAGGUAUAUAGAGGAGUUCAACAAGUGAUGAUGAAGAAUGCACGUGGCUUAGAGACGGAACCAACAACUCCUAACAGGGGCACAUGCCCCCACUUGGAUUCUUAAAUAUAAGUUAAACUUGUGGAUGCCAAUUUAUGUUGACAUGGGCGCCACAACCAAUGCUUGCAGCUAGCAACCACGUCGUCGUUGCCGAGGUUAUGUUAGCCGAGUUGCCGAAUAGUAUAGACCAGUGAUAGGCAAGUCCGUUCACCCAUUAAAAAAAUAAGGGAAUUGUGGUACAGGGAAUUAUGCACAUUAAUGUAUGCGCGAAGGUUAAGUUUGUCUUUAAUAACACCAAAACGUUGUUGUCUGAUAACACAUACAAUGAAUCAUGAUCAUUGUUAAGAAAACGGAAGGCGGCCAUUCUAAAUGGUUGCACAGCAUUGACUUAGCGUAACAAUUAGACUUUGCUCUAUGUUAUUAUCUCACGUUUUUUUAUUUUGAUGUCAAAUGAUGUGAUUGUUUCAUUCAUCAUGUUGCAACGAAAUAAUUGGCCACCACCAUUUUAGAGUAAUGUCCAGUCCUAUGAUAAAAUUUACCCAAUAAUUCUAAAAACAUGAUAUGAGAGGAGUCUUUGUCAUGACCAAGUUGGCUCAAUAUAAUUAUCUGAACGUGUACCGAUGUGUGGUAUACCCCUGGUCGUAAGGUUUUUUUUCUUGAAAAGGACUGGGGAAAACUCUUUUCCUUAUAAUUUUUCUUAUCCUAAUAAAAUUUAAACCAAAGCUUUUGCUUCCCUUUCAGGGAAAAAAUAUUAGGGGAGCGGAGAGAACCACCGUUAUUUUUAUGCACGUAUGUGAAUAUUUGCACCCAUCAUGUGGGCGAAAAGUAAACAUUCAGUUACAAUUGUGUCCAUGUUUCAAAAUAAAAUCCUUGAUACUCGAUUAUUUGAAGAGUCAAUGCGAAUAACGUGGUGGAUGUCUUGGGACCUCCAAUAUUAAACUUCCGAACGAUCAACACAAAAUUAGCAUUGAUAUUCAUGUCCACCAAGAUCCAAUGUGGGCAAAUAUUUUACCUAUUAACCAAUGUUUAUUGGGGUUGUCACCAAUGCUUUGAAUUUUCGCACUCCGAUCCCGUCGUCGCAGGCGGCAAGCACGCCCCUGCCCCGCGCUGACCAUAGAAUUCUCACUUCCCUUUAGGCCUUUACUGCCACCAUUCUAAGCUUACAUUCCCUUGGUUGCAAUUUUCGUUAAGGUUCACUCGCUGACAGCUGGGCCCGCAGCUGCCCUGCCCCCUCCGUUAUCUUUCCCAGCCGCACGAGCGCGCUUGCACAGUUCGGCGACGGACCAGCCGGAGGAGAAGCGUCUUGGCCGAGCGCACGGCCUAGCCGAGCAUGCGGCCUGGGCGAGAGCCCGCGGGUGCCGGCUGCCGGGGGGCGCAAGCGGCCUCCAGGCCUCCAGGGCGUGCGUGUCGAGCCGAGGCCUGGCCGAGCACGGCCGGCACGCGGCUAAGCAAGCGACGACCACCCUCCGUGCCGCCCGUUCGUUUGCUAGCAUGCAUUGUCCUGCAAAGGAUUUGCUGGCCGAGCACGGCCGGCACGCGGCUAAGCAAGCGAUGAAGGCCGCAACGUCGCCGAGCUCGACCCGGAGAUACGCGAAGGAUCCGCCGGCCACGGCCCACGGGGAUAUCUUGAUGGCGAACUCGGUGUAGCAGAACACCGAGAGCGUGGCGGACAGGCCGGAGGCGGACGCCACCUAGGAGAGCACGAUGGUCGAUAGCCAGGCCGGCGUGGUCGUGCGCCCCCUGGCCCGUGAGCACAAUGCCGGCGCCGAUGACGGAGCCGAAGCACCAGAUGAGGCACCAGCGCAUCUCGUUCUCGCUGCGCCGGCGCAGAGCGCGCGCCGAGCUCGUCAGCGUCCGUGUGGAGCGGCCAGCAAAGCGGUCAUGGAGGCGGGCCGGGGUCGUCGUGCUCGUGCCAGCGCCGUGCGGUAGGUGCCCCAGCUCGCGAACGAUUUCGAGGGCAUUGAGACCUCGACUCUCGAGGGCAUCCAUCAACAAUGCUACCCAAUUCUGGACAGCAAAUAUUAGGGACACGAUUUGGGGAUUCGAACUGAUAGAAGAGGAAUCAGGGACUAGGAAUGAUAAAUUAGUCAAUACCGCCCGAUUUGUAGUUUAUAUUACACACAAGAUUUACAAUAUUUAGCACUAAAUACAUACUCCCUCCAUCACAAAAUACUAUUUACUUUGGAUUUUCUAUUUCCAAAACUUUUGAUAUUGAUCUAGAUGUAUGUAUGUCUAGAUACGUAGCAAAAGCUAUGUAUGUAGAAAAGUCAAAACGAAUAGUAAUUUGAGAUGGAGGGAGUACAUUGUUCUUAAUCAACCAAAGGAUUCAAUGGUACAUUAGACCUUGUGUCAUGUUUGUACUAUGCAAGAUCAUGCUGGGUCUUACGACAAUCGUGGCUUUGGAAGGACUAUAUAAGAUAAAGAAUGGUGAGUUGGUCCCUUUCUCUGAACAUGAGCUUCUCAACUGUGACUCGCUUCGUAUGAAUUUUUCAUUACAAAAUUAUGACUUACAUGAAGUGUUGUAUUAUUUUAAAAAACACAUAGCCACAUAGACAAGACAGAGCUUGUAGGAAGACAAGGGGGCAUGGCCCCCUCAUGUUCCAUCUAUACUCUUGUACACCUAUAUAUUAAAUUAGUUUUGAGAUUACAUUUAUUCAUGCGUAAAAUUGUUGUGGUUAUUGUGGCCAACCACCACUGGUACGGAUAAUGUUUAGAUGGCUAUCCGUUCUGGACUGCAAAGAACUAGGCCCAAUUAAGAUGAAGGUGGUUAUUAAAAAAUAAUCCAAAGAAUUAGGCCUAAUUAAGAUGAAGGUGGUUAUUAAAAAAUCCAUGAAGAUAGUGGUUAGAUGAUGUAUCAGGAGGCAUGUCACACGCCACCUUGGGGCCUACGCGGCCUAUCUAUUAGGCACGCGUUUCCUAUUAUACCGUUUAUGGUUUGUUGGUUGUCAUAUAUUUAUGAAUUGUUGUAUGCAUAGGAGUUUUAUCGUAUUAAGUGAACACAAACUGUAAAUGUCAAACUGCAAUAUCAAGGAGUGUUAAAUUGUUUUUCAUGAUCAACACAUAGUUGUAAUAAAGUGUUUUAUUGUAUGCUAAGGAGUAAUGAUCGGUUAAUCUUCAUACCUUAGUUCUAGCAAAGCAUUGCAGUGCUACUCUGCCCACUUCCAAAUAACCCUGUUAAAUUUGAAGCCACACGGUUAUAUGCCGUGCAUUUUACAUAUAAUAUGGGCAAAUACCCUUCUUAAAAAAAAAUAUGGGCAAAUACCGUAGUAGGGGACUGGAGCUCCUCACCACCUUCCAUUCCACCAAUCCACUAUCUUUUCCACACAGUACCACACGAGUCCUGGAAUGGAAGCGGAAGCAGUCCGAUGACGCCGUCGUCGUGGUACCAUACGUGCUGGCUUCCUGGGCCGAGCCAAUAGACCAUGGCCGCGCCGCGGCGCACACGCACAUCAGCACAUGCCGCGCGGCUUGACCCGGCGGCAUGGCCACUGCGCUCGCGGGCGCCGGGGCCCCAGGGCGCAGCCGCAGGGCCAGUUUCGCGCUCUUUUCUUACUUCGGCCUUGUUUACUUGUCAAUUUGGGAGUGGUAAAAUUGACAUUCUACUAUAAAUGCGACACUGUAGCAUUUCGUUUGUAUUUGUGAAUUAUUGUCUAAAUAUUGACUAAUUAGGCUCAAAAGAUUCGUCUCGCAAAGUACAACAAAACUGUGCAAUUAGUUUUUGAUUUCGUCUACAUUUAGUACUCCAUACAGGUACCGCAAGUUUGAUGUGAUGGGGAAUCUUCUUUUUGCAUAGUGCCAAAGUUGGGAGUUAGGGGUAAAGUAAACAAGGGCUUCUUCUUGACCACUCGGAUUUACUGCGCCGCAAGCGACGACCGUCGACCGGGUAGUGGGCACGGGCGCACGAGGCACCUGCUUUUGAGGCAGCCGAAAGGCUCCGCGCUGCACUGACGCCAGUCUGCACUCUGCAUCCCGUAGCUGAGCCUCGGCAUGCAAGCCAGAAAGGUGGGCUCCUCCUCCCGGCUUUUGGACACGCCAACCCAGCGCCGCAUCACUAGAAAUGGUUUAGGUCCGGUUUGAUUUGUCCGCACCCGAAUGUUUAGAUAUUAAUUAGAAGUAUUAAAUGUAGACUAUUUACAAAAACUCAUUACAUAAGUGGAGGCUAAACGGCGAGAUGAAUCUAUUAAACCUAAUUAGUUCAUGAUUUGACAAUGUGUUGCUACAGUAAAUAUUUGCUAAUGAUGGAUUAAUUAGGUUUAAUAGAUUCGUCUCGCCAGCCUCCACUUAUAUAAUGAGUUUUAGAAAUAGUCUACGUUUAAUACUCCUAAUUAGUAUCUAAAAUAUUCGAUGUGACAUGUGCUAAAAAUAAGCAAAAGUAACGGGGCCUUAAUCUAGUGUGCCACCCUUCCCGGCUAGGUGGUUAGUAUUGCCUAAUUGUAGUUGUAGGUUAGGGUUGUGGGUUUCUGCUUAAAACAACAAGUUUCCUGAAUUCCUGUCUAAUGUAAUGUCACCAAUCAUGGAAGCAGUACACUGUGAUGGUUGUGUCACGGAGGGGCAAAUCCCUUUCCGUAAUUGGCAAGAGCCCAGAGCCCUUGUGCAGGAAUUCAGAGAUGCGGAGUGCAGAGGCACCGGCCUCGUGCGGUCGUGCCUAGCCGCUUUCUUCCGUGAUGGCCGGGAAGUUUGUUGAAUUCGAGUAAAUCGAAGUAUACAAGGGUAUGCGAAUGCAUUUGGUUUAAAGACGUUAAACUCUAGUUCAAAUCGAUCGAACCUUCUUAUUGCACGAUUAAAACACAAGGAAUUGAACCACAAGAAUAGGUGAGCAAUUCGUUUAGAAAAAAGGACUAGGUGAGCAAUUCGCCUGUACGUAGACGAAAACCGAUGGAGUCGACGGAAUACGUGCACGCUAGCUAUGGCGGUUUUUGCAAUGGAGGUGAGGGGAUAGCUGGAUCGGUAUUUGUAAUGAAACAAAUUACAAGGAAUCAAACUCACCUAGCGUACUUCUAAGUUCUAACUAUGCAUCGUAUGUUCCUGCUAAAACAACUCGUUAUAUGAAGCCAUGGAACAAGUACACUGUGAUGGUCGCAUUACACAGGAGCAAUCAUCCUUUCCGUUAGUGGCAAAAGCUCUUGUGCUGUUUUCCUUUUCUUUUUUGAGGCAAAAAAGCUCUUUGUGGUGUUGUGCAGGAAUCCAGGGCCACAGAGGCUCAUGCCUAGGCGCUUUCUUCCGUAAUGGCCGGGAAGCUUAUUGAUUUUGAGCACUACUAGCAGUACUCUUCUUGUCCAGCGUGUGUUCUCCCGCCAAUGUUUUCCAAGCUUCUCCGAACCAGAGUUCUCUCAGGUACCAUACUGUUUCGCGUAAAAAUUUCUACAAAGUUUGUGCGCUUGAACUGUUCGCCUCAGCUUAUCAGCCGGCUUAUCAGCCACCGAACAGUGUUUUUCCCUCACAACAAAUCAGUUGUUUCAGCUUUUCAGCCGGUUUAUAAGUUCAGUCAAACAGACCCCAAAUUCGCCGCGACUUAUAUACUUGCAUAUUGUUAUAAUGCUAUUAGAUUAGAUGAUCGUUCCUGUGCAGUAGCAGAUAAAAGGGUGCCUAAUUUCCUAGUGACCGAUGUUUUAGACUGUUAAGCAAGUGUUAGGGAAACGAGACACGCAGACAUUAGCCAGAGAAACGAAGCCGGAGAGAGACGAAACGGAAGAAGAGUAGAAGACGAACACGACUAUACAACGACUCAGCAGCUGCAGCAGCAGACUGCCGCUUCCGCCCUGCACAAUAAAUCCAAGAGGCGCCGGAGGGACGGGCGCAGGCGCGCCGCAGUCGUCAUACUCCCCGAGACGCCGCAUUGGAUGCUCCCUCUACCCACUCUCGCCUCUGCCCCUCGCCAUUUUCGCUGAACCAAGCAGCAUUCCCUGGUUCUUGGUAUCCUCCUCCGCAAUCUCUGGUUCUGGAGAGGUAGCGCGGGAGCAAGGCUUUGCUUGGUUUCUGAAGAUGGGGCAGAGAAAGAAAAGCCAUGGUUCGUGAGGCAUCCGGGUUCCCUGCUUCUUGGUAGCCCUCGGCAUUGCCGUCCUAUCGUUCUUGGGGUGCAGGCUGGGGUUAAUCCGGCCAUGAGGAAGCACGGGUGGCAGCUGCCCUACCACCCUCUCCAGGUACGGUCCGCUCAGCGCGCGGGGUUGUACUUUCAGUUUCCAUUUUCCUCGCGAUGUUUUUGCUGUUCUUGCCACUCACGCAUUCUAUUGCUGUGCUCCGGAACCGACGAGCUGCAGGUGGUGGCUAUUGCCGUGUUCUCCGCACUGGGUUUCGCCUUCUAUGUCUUCUUCGUGCCGUUCGUGGGGACAAAGCCUUUCCAGAUUGUGGCCAUGGCUAUCUACACUCCACUGGUGAGGUCCCUGUCCUACUUGAGAGAUUAAAUUCACUAUUACGCAUAGAUCUGGCAUUACGUAUUUGUUUCGCUGGUCGCCCUCUCGCGUUCUACAGUUCUGGGUACUCAGACCAUCAGGCAUUGCCGUGCGUUGUAUUGUUUGAAACUUCUACCUUUAAUACAAAGAUACUGCGUAUUCGAGAAAAAAAAGUACUGGUAGAGAAUGUCAUCUGCUUUGCAUGUAUCUGUUGUAAAAGAAUGACGAUAUGACGUUGGUUAGAGACUAUAGUUAGUCACUGGGUGAUUGAACAAUUUUAUCUGGAGAAUGAUGAAUGCCUUCUUUUUGCAGAUUACAUGUGUUGUUGUGUUAUACAUAUGGUGUGCCGCAACAAAUCCUGGAGACCCGGGCAUUUUCAGUUCAACAAAGGAUUUGAAGUUACAUAAGCAUGAAAAGCACUCCAAUGUAAAUUCAGAUCAGGGAAUUAGUCAUGGAGGAAGGCCAUUAAGUGAGGCUUUUGGUACUGCUGAUAACAGUGAGAAGCUGAGCAGCAUGCUUGAGAGGAAGGAUUCACCCUCUUGGCCCAGAUUUUCUGGAAUACUUUGCUUGGUUUGUUUCCCAUUCUCAUACCUUUGCAAGCGAUGCCUCCAUUCAGAUAAUGAACCUUCAGAACAGAACAUAUGUGAAGAGGGCAUGUUUUUCUGCAGCCUAUGCGAAGCAGAGGUAUUGUUAACUAGUCCUUUUCCUAUUCAUAGUAUUGAGCUCAUAGUACAUUGCUAUUGGGCUGUUCAGUACAAACAAGUCUUGUUCAUGACAUGUUAUCAGAUGGGUUUUGUUUUGGAUUCUUUGUCUCAGACGUCAAUGAUUAAAAUGCGUUGCAAUUGCGCACUUCAUGCUGCUCUGUUUCAUCGUAUCGAGCUCAUACCUGAACAUGCUGUUCUGUUUCUUCAAGUUGUACUGGUCUGCGCACUGCACUACUAACUUAGGUCACCUACAAAGUAUCCAAAAAUUUAGUGGAAUUUGUAUAUUAAGUUUCACAUUUACUUUCAGCAAUUUAUGCUUACCCUGGCAUGUGCUUAUGUGGAGGGCAGGUAGGCAGUGCCUUCAUGUUUAGACCUUAAAUUUUGCUAAUAUUCAGUUUGAUUUUCAGUAGAGCGUUGACAGACUGCAAUGAAUCUAAUGUAUUAACUUUGUGAGGGCAACCCGUGAAAAAUUCAGAAAUUACUGUAACUAACUAGACUGAAUUCAGAGAAACAGGACGGCAAGUAGUUUGAAUCAAAUGUUCAUGUGUUUCCAGUUUCGUAAAUGAAUCCAUUUGUGAUGUAUAUGUUGCAACUUGGAAGUGUCUUCCAGUACCAUUAUUUGAGUGUCUUCCAGUUAUACAAGUAAAAUUGUCUUUCCAUCUGUCUAAUUACGCACUGAAUUUGUAAUUUGGUUAUAGAUGAAUGGAAAGUAUGGUGUUCUGAUGCAUUUGUGAUCUUGGUUUGUGACUUAGUAUCUUCAACGUUUGUGAUAUUUUAUAAAUAAUAGCAUAAGUUGUUUCCUGUUUGAAUUUGGAUGCCAUUGCGGGAUUUUGAAGAAUAGUAUUAUGCAGGUUUUAAAGAACAGUAAGCAUUGCAGAGUGUGUGACAAGUGUGUUGAUGGCUUUGACCACCAUUGCAGAGUAAGAUCUGUUUUUCUUAUUAUUUUCCCUGAUACUCAGAAAAGUGGUUCCUCAUGAGAAUUCUGGUCUUAUUUACUCUCAAUUCCUAAUGGGUAGUAACAAGUUUCACUGCUGCCAUUGUUCUUUUGUAGUGGCUUAAUAAUUGCAUAGGGAAAAGGAACUACAAAGGGUUCUUUGUUCUAAUGGCUUCUGCGGUUAUCCUAGUAAGUGUUGGUCUCUUGGGAACUGACAAGAAUUGGAAUUAAAGAGCAUUAUGCCAUUGAUACGUACACCUUAUAAUGACCCUUGUGUUAUUGCAUUAUCCUCCAGCAUCUGGGGCACUGUUUGUAGUUAGCAAUGUUGUUAUGUCUACUUUCUAUUCUGGUAGAUCAUUGACAGGUCUCCAUGAUCUGUACAAUUUGGUCCAGCUUGUGAUGCAGUGGUUGUCAGGAGCUCUUGUGUUGAUUCUCUGUAUUGUUAAGAGAGGAGAUUUCUCCAGGCAGAUUGUCACAAAGUUGGGAAGCAGCUUCUCAACUGUAGCUUUUUUAAUUGUUGUGGUGAGUUCAAUCAAAUUUUUUUUUUCCUUGUCUAAUACGUGGGCACUGCAUUAAAGUUCAGAGAUUCUGUUGGUGUCACUAAAAUGACACUGCUAUCCUUGAAAAACCGUUACAUGGUUGGUGAUAUGAUGUUUUAUUUUUGCAGGCAACUUGCACCAUUUUAGCAAUGGUUGCGACCAUACCACUCGCUCAACUUUUAUGCUUCCAUAUUCUUCUUAUCAAGAAGGUAAGUUGCUCUUGACGUUUAAUUGAAGACAGCUUGAAUAAUAGCAUACGAUGGCAACAACAGACAUGCUUGCAAUUUCAUAUUUGGCCCUCCUUAAUCUUGUUUACCCUGCUUCCAGAGUUAUAUAUGCUUGGUCACUACUAUUUUGCAUUGUUUCUUGGUCUACUGCAUGGAUAAUGUAAUGAAGCUCAAAUUAACUAUUCCCUUAAUUAGAAACAAAAAACACUCUUCCUUUGUCCCGGUGAUGAUAGCACAGAGCCGAUUGAAUUUUCUGCUGAAAUAAGUCAGUCGCAUACUACAAUAGGUUGCUAUAAUUGGUCGGAGAGUUUUGCAAGAAAAGUAGAAAACUAUGUGCAUUUGAACUUGUUCUUUUUUCCAUAUAGCUUGAGGUUAAAUAUUUAUAUAUCUUACCCAUUGUGUUCAGGGAAUUAGCACAUAUGAUUACAUCAUAGCUUUGAGGGAGCAGGAGGAUCAACAAGAGGUUCCUGGACAUCAAAGUCCACAGAUGUCUAUUAUAAGCUCUGUUACUGGAUUUAGCACAGCCAGUUCUUUUGGACCACUUCAUCGUGGUUCAUGGUGCACACCACCACGAUUAUUCCUAGAAGACCAGGUAUGUGAUAAUGGAUCAUUUCUGUCAAAACCUGAUGUAACAGAUAGGAUAAAGGUCCUGGAAGUCCUAAAGACAACACAACUUGAUAUGCCUCUAAUGAUAGAUCAAACGUUAGAAUCUUGCAUGUGCUGCCUCUUUAACAAGCUAAUUAUGCUCAUUUUUUUGUAUUUCUGAUGUAUUCGAGAAAAAAUAUGUAUUUCUGAUAUAAAGCUAGUUGAAACUGAAUAACUGAUUAGUAUCAAUAUGUGAAGCUGGCUGCUUAGAUUAUGCCAUCUGAUAUUCCAGCACUUGAACAUGCAUACGCUCCCUCGAGUUAUCAUGAAUAGUACAAUACGCUUCUUUUUUCCCCCACAAACAAGUAGCAUCAAUUAUCCUACUCCCAUCUUUAGAAGAAGAAAAAAAGAAAUUGUAACCAUGCAGCACCCAUUAUCGUACUCCCAUCUUUAAUUGUCGAUGCUUAUUGCUUGCUCUAUUCUUUCACAGUUUGAUGUUGUUCCUCCAGAGAUCGGCAUGUCACAGAAUUCAGGCAGUAAGAAAAUGAAAGAAGAGGAAGUAGGAAGGAGAAAACCUGGACCAGUGAAAAUCAGUCCUUGGACACUGGCACGCCUUAAUGCGGAGGAAGUUUCUAAAGCAGCUGCAGAGGCUAGGAAGAAAUCCAAAAUCCUGAAGCCAAUUGCAAAAUAUGAUGCUUCGGACAAUGGCAGUAAACCAGAUCAUAAGCUCAGCAACAAGAGACGACCAGACAGAAGAGGUUUCCCCGCUGAACUUUCUCUUGACCCUCUUGCAACUCUAUCUGCAAGUGGCAACGAAAGCAAUUUCAGUGAUGCAGCCAUGGAAAUCUCGGGCAGUUUAGCCCCAUUACAGCUUGAAGCGAGAAGCGCUUUCCAACCGAGUACUGCAGGAUCCGCCAGAAACAUUGUUUCGUCACCUGAAAGCAGCUUUGACUCGCCUGAUCUCCACCCCUUCCGCAUUUCUUCAUCCACAGCUGAAGAGAUGCAGGGAGUCAUAUCACAUUCAGCUCACAAGGGCAUUGAGUUCACAAGAUCAUCCAGCGAUGGGUAUGAAGCAUCAGGAGGGGAAGAUAGUGACUGCAUCCCAUCAAGAAUCGUGCACAGAUCGUCAAAUUGGGACAAUGUCAUUCUGAAUGCUGGUCAGGGAGGCCCUGCAGUUGAUCUGCACAUGCAAUCAUCUGAAGGGUUUGUUACUAACUUGAAGUGAAGCUAGCUUCCAGGCCGUCUCUGAUUUGCGAGUCUCUGAUUUGCGAAUCAUAUGAAACUGCUGGUGUUGACAGUUUCCGGCCUUAGGAUUCGUUUAGGUGCUUACUUUAUCUGAUUAUAUGUGGGGGAUUAGAAUUUAGAUUAAUUCUAGGUGCUAAGUUUUUCAGGUUUCAUGUCUGUAAAACGGUCUUGGUCGCUGGUUUAGCAUUCAAUUGUCAUUUUGGCAAAAUGUGAAUGUGAGGAUUAGUCUUUGUCUAAAUUUCUUGCUGUGCAGUCGGACCAUCUUGAACAAUCGAACUCGUUCUUCAGUUUUUUUUUUCUUUUUUGAAUCAUGGAGAGAUGAUUCCGCCUGGUGCCGCCGCACUUUUCAGGCCUAUUGGGCCACAGCCGUCACCGAGGGAGACUCCUACUUGGAGCUGUCAGUCGCUUCCUCGCUUCAGACCUUCAGUCGGUGAUGGGUAGGGUCGAGUGAUGUAAAGCAAAGCAGAAAUGCAAUGCUCACGGCUGCAUGUGUAGUGUGAUUUUUGCCUAAGAAGCACCCAGCCACGCAGGAUACAACACAGUGCUCUGCCAGUUCAUACCAACAGGGCAAGCUUAAGAGUUUCCUCGAUCCAUUCAUUUUUCAUGGGGUGAAUAUGCAUCCUGGUCUGUGGUCUUCACGAAACCAUCGAGUUGGAUUUAGUCUGGGGCUAUAAUUUACAAAGAACAAUCCUAUAAUAGGGAACUACAGCACAUAAGAGAAAUAAGGACCAGACAGACGCAAGCAUAGCCAUUUUGCUACUGCCACUAAAAAACAUCAUGUGCUAGUUACUACGCCACAAGCAACACACAGCAAAAAGGAUGCUAGACCGGAACCCGCUUUCCUCUGUAGCGGUCAAGGAACUGCAGGCAAGGGAAAUUGGGGUUGUCAGAAUGUGCAACAGGCCAAGCUUCUAUCUCAGGAACAGAUGAAGAACGUUAUGUGUCGUGAGGUCCUUACCGAUGUCACAAACGGUUGUUGAAAUAUCCAGCCAAUGAUAGGAAUCCUCUGCAAGAACACUACAAGUGUUGGCCAGAAUCCACUGCAAUGGGAUCCAAGUCAGUGUCCAGGUACAAGCAAAUUUUCUUUCAGGAACGAUUAGAAUUCUGGAAGAAACAAAUUGAUUUCGUGGCAUUUAAUCUGGAAGAAACAAAUUGAUUUUGUGGCAUUUAAUCUUUUUUGAGACCGUGUCUCAGCAAGUUGCAAGAAUUUUAAAAAAACACAGAAAAAGAAUCCAACCUGAAGAGUACAAUAAAGCCAUAUGCCUCUAAGAGCAUGCCGAAAAAGGGCCACCCGAUGAGGACUAGGAAAAAGCCAACACCAAAUGAGAUUGUACCCUGUUUAUUACAACAGCUGAUUAGAUAUUAGUCGUGUUUUCUAGUUAGUCAUGUUUAUGGGCAACAGCUAUGGAAAAAACAGCGAUUGAUAACCUUGUAAUUCUUAGGCUUGGUGAAGAAUUGCAUAGUUGAUUUUAGACCAAUUGUCAAACCCAAUCCUGACAGGAAAAGAAUCUGAAAUGGUAUGAUGAGAAAAGAUUAACCCUAGGCUCAGUAAGAUAACUUAGAUCUUCAUAAAAUUCAAAGGAACAAUACAAAACAGACGUUAACCUACAUUGCCCAUUGCGAUGAGCCCCUUGUCAAAGAAGAAAAUUAUUCCCAGAAAGGAGAAGAAUAUUCCAAAACCUGUCAGGCCAAGCCCAAUCUCUGUCCAAGAUGAAAAUCAGUAGUCGGAAUCACUGAGUGGGAGGAACAAACUGUAAUAUCUAAAUCGGUGAAUAUUCUUACAACACCAUAUGACAAGACAGGGAAUGAUGCUCUAUAACAAUACAAAAGAUUUUUCAAGCAAAAAUUUUUCACCAUGCUUUGAAUGUUGAACACUAUAAGUGUGGCACUGAGGACAGCUCCCUAUCCUAAGGUGGCUGAAUUUUACAUAAUUUUUUUAUACAGCCACAACACUCAAAAGGUGGCAUUUUAAACACAAUGAUUCUACUAAGGUUCCCGAAAAAUUGCUAUAACCCAGCCAGAGCAAGCUGGUUUCUAAGUGGCUGUUGACCAAGAUUAGCCGAUGGUUGAGUAUCUGUUCCUUAUUUGCUAUGGCCAAUAAAGGACAGGUACAGUGGUGUCACCCAAUCAGAACGAGCAUAGAGUCACAGACCUUACAGCAGUAUCACAUCUGGUGCUGUUUUCAACUAAAUAAUCCAAGUACCAUUCAGAGUUGCAGAGGUCAACCAGCAGCCCAGCGCUGAAGUUAUUUGUGUAAUAAGGUAAUGGAAUAGGCCUAACCAGAAGAAACUCUUAGAUUUUCACUCUGUAGAUCUUCACCCAAUUGGUACAGUUGGCCUAUAUUUCCAUUUAUUGAACCAACUCAGUUCAGAUUAGAUUAACCACAGUAACAAAUUUCUAGGGUAUCACACAUGUUACCUAGGGUUGAAUGCAUCCCUGUACUAGCUCUUUAUAAUAAACAUCCCCAACCCACCCUUCAAGAAAAGGACUGAAAUGAAGAAACAACCCCUGAUGCAAUAACUCUUAAUAUUAGAACUACUGGUUAAGUGAUGUUGCACAUAUCACACAAGCACAUAGUACAUGAUAUACCCUAAUGUAUCAUAGUCGACACACCAAAACUACUGUUUACGUGAUAUGGCAAGUGUUGCAUUUUAGUGCAAGCAUGUUAAGGUCAGAAGCAGAAACAAAGUAGAUAUAGCAAAGCAUAUACACAUUUACUGCACAGCAGUACAGUACAAGCAAUCGAUGCUCCUAUCAGAGACAAAUGGAACAAAAACUGGAAGACAAUUUGACAAGAAUGGUGACGUGUACAUACUCUUGAGGUCAUUCAUCUCGAAGGAAACCAUCUUGUUUUGCAAUGACACCGCAGAGAUCAGGGCAAAAGACUGCAACAGCGCGAAGUAUAAAAUUAGGCAUAGUUUGUGCAAACAGAGAUAGAACCGAAUAUGAAGUACUAACAGAGCUUCAGAGUCGGAGCUCAGAAGAAGAUCCGAUCCCUGCCCGAGUCAAUAGGCACUAGGCUUGAUCCCUGCCCGAGUCAAUAGGCACUAGGAGGAAGAAGAUCAUGUUUUAAGGGUAAGGCACGGGGCUAAUCGCCAAUAAUUUUUGCAAAAACAUAGAAUUUAUAGUAGGUAAAAUCAUGGUCAGAUCCGAAUACAAAUACCAUACGUUAGGGGUUUGGGUGUUCGAUUUCGAGCAGCAGGAAGGGAAGGGAGGGGAAUGGGCGGGCAUACCCUUGUCGGAUGCUCGUCGCCGGCAAAGCGCCCGACGAAGAACUGGCGGGCGGCGCCACUCGCCCUGUCGUCGCCGCUAGGAAAGGAAGGCCGAGACCGAGAGAGAGAGAAGGCGUGCGUGGCAGCGUAGCGUGGGAGAGAGAAGAGAGAGAGAGAGAGAGAGAGAGAGAGAGAGAGAGAGAGAGAGAGAGCGCCCGGCGGACGGGAGUACGGGACAGGCCCACGGCCCGCGUUCAGGUUUGGCUAGCGCGCGAGGCCUGCUUAAUUUCUUUUUCGUCCUCCUCUCAAAAAAAAUUUCCGUCUUCUUCUUUCUUUCACUUCUUCCUUUUUAUUCCAUCCCGUUCUUUUAAUAAUUAUAAUAAUUAAUUAAUUCAUAUAUAUAAAUAUAUAUGCCUUUCGACAAUUUGGAAUGUUUACUUAGCAUUUUGUGGAAGAUAUUUCAACAAUAAUUAACAUAUGUCCAGCGUUUCAUGUUAAAAAUGUUGAAAUUGUAGUCUCAAAAUGCUGAAAUUUUAAAUUCCAAAUGUUGAGAUGGUACAUUAAAAUUUUAUUACUUUAAAAAUCUAUUAAAAUUUAAAAAAAUCUAGGUCAACAUUCUAGAAUAGCUGGUUGAACAUUUUACAAGAAAUAGUUGUGUUGAAGCCAUUGAUUUCAUUUGGUCCAGCAUUCACGAUUGUGCAUUUUAUAAGAACACCGAUGUUCAUUUUCAUUGAUUUCAUUAGUAAAAAAUAGUUGUGUUCAAGCCAUUGGCUCAACAUUCACGAUUUAUAAGAAAAAAUGUUUAUUUUACUACUAUGUACAAAGCACUUUGUUAGAUUAAUCCCGUAUACAGAAUAUCAACAUUUUACUUCCCCUAACAUUCAAAUUGUGAAUUCAUUGUAUAGUACAAUUGUUAUUUUUUUCCAUUUUAUCAUAAGUACACUUUAUGUUUUGAGAUCCGAUGUUAUAAAAACAUGUAUGACUUAAUUAUUAAAAAACAUUUUGGUAAUCUUUUAUGAUAUAACAAAUAGUGAGGGUAGUAAAAUGCACCACAUAUUCCAGAAACCACCUAGAAGGUUGUUGUAGGUUAAUAUGAAAGGAAGGAUGAGAAAAUUGCAUAUUUGCCCUCACUUUGACCUCCAACUACACAUUUGCCUCUCUCUCUGUUUUUUUUUUACUUUGCGUUACUGCCCCUGCUUCGACGAAGUCAAUGCACUGUUGCCCCUUAUUUUGCCUACUUUGACAGAAAAAUUGGUAAAACUAAAACAACAAAAGCAUAGUCAAACGAUGCAAUGCAAAAGUUGAAAAAAGAAAGAUGUUAAACGUGUAGUUAAAGAUCAAAGAUGGGAUAUAAUUGCAAAUGGUGCAAGAAAGAUCAGUAGUAAGCCAGUAAAGUUCUUUUGAUCUUUUGCGCCCGUUGGUACAAGGGUACUCUAGUUUUUUUUAUAAGCAUAAAAGAUUUGCGUUUCAAUUGAAAAAAAUUCAAAAUUUACAAGUCAUUGUACUGGCACAACGGCCAAAGGUAAAGGUUUCUUGCACCAUUCCCGGAGUCUCUCUGUCCCGCUCCUUUCCCCCCUGCUCAGUUGCUCUACCAAGUCGGGCAACCCCGUCUGCCCUCGCCUGAUCACCUCUGCCUCGCCUCGAAUCCCCCUCCUUUCCCCUAUCUUCACCUCACCAGCUCACCUCACCGGCGUGCGGCGUUGAAGCCAGCCUGACCCAUGGGGGUUUCCUCACGCACCCAGCUCCUCCUCCUCCUCGCGAUCUCGUCGGUUCUCGCCUUCAACCACGCAGCGGCUGCCGGCGCCGUCUUCGAGGUACGCCGCAAGUUACCGCUCCACUGUGGCGGGGGAGGUUGCCAUUACGCGGAGCACGUGGAGCACGAUGCCCGUCGCCAAGGUCGCCGCCUCUCUCCCGGCACAAAUUUCCCACUCGGCGGCAGCCCGGCAACAGAAACUGGGUAAAGUAAAAACCCCACGUGCACGCCGAAUUUUUGGUACGGCUAUCUAGGGCACUUCCAUGGGUGUGGUAAUCUGAUCUCUGGGAUGCGGCGUUGCAGUCUGUACUUCGCUGAGCUCACAAUUGGGAAGCCGCCGAAGGCAUACGGCAUGGAGGUGGACACCGGCAGCGGCAGCGCCCUGGUGAACUGCGUCACCCGCGACUCCUGUCCCCGCGAGGACAUCAGUGGGGUAUAGCUCUCUCCAUCCUGCUGUAGCAGAAAUUGUAUGGCUUGAUGUACUUAAUAAACGCUACUGAAAAAAUUAGUAGGAUGGAACCGCCUUUCAACCAAUCAAUACAACCUCGUAGAGAAGCUUUGGCUAAAACUCUAGCAGUUUCUUGAAGCUUGCUUUAGAUAUUUAGAAUCUUACUCCCUCCGUCCCAAAAUAUAGCUACAUUUAGCUUUUUCAAAAGUCAAAUCUUUUUAACUUUGACCAAUAAUACCUCUAAAAAUAAUUUAUUUCAAAUAAAAAAGAUUUCAUAUUAUAAUAGUUGGUUUCAUGAUAAAUCUACUAACAUAAUUUUUAUGCUAUUAGUCUCUUUGAUUAUUUCUCUAUUCGCAGUCAAAGUUGAAAAUAUUUGACUUGAAAAAAAUCUAAAUGUAGCUAAAUUCUGGGACGGAGGGAGUACCUAUUUGAGUACAGGGCGUUGCUCAGAGUGUUGGCAGCAUUGUGGAGAGAUUGCCAUAAUUUGAUUGUGUUGUACUAGCUUUAUGAUAUCUCGUCAAGAUAUAAGUUAGAAAUGGAUGUGAUAUGAACUAAAGAGUAAGAAAUGUGGCAACGGUGAUCCUUGUUAAGUUACCAACUGAUCUGUGAAAACAAAUUUCAAAAUAGGAUUACCACAACAAUAUAUGUCGUUGUUGACGAUGCAACUAACUAGAACUGCCGUGCUAUGUAUCUAUGUGUUGUAACUACUUCUAGAUAUAUAGGCAUGCUGGUUACUAUUUUUUAAUAUAAACACUGCAGUUGUUCUAACAAAAUGUUUGAUCUUACAGAUGGCCUGAGGAGUAACCACACAAUAUAUUUGUGACAUCAGCCAGUACGCAGUUGUGAUAGCCUAAACUACACUACCGGUUGGUGGCUAGAACAAGUACUGUUUUAUGCUUUUGACAUUAUAAUUAGUACGGUUUGUGGCUUCAACAAUACGUAGCAUUAGUACCGGUUUGAACCUUGCCCCAACUGUUGAACUGGUAUUGAUGCUACCAUCUGUAGAGGUUCUUGCACAACUGGUUCGAUCUGAUAGGCAGUGUAGUAGUGUGGAUGGCUGAACAGCUUUAGCGUUCUAGUUUUUCGUUUCUGCUGCUGUCGGUGUUAGUUAGGUCUAAUUACCACUACUAAUGUUGUUCCGUGUUCAGCUGGCAGCAACUGGGGAAGCAAGCCUCAGAUUUUGCCCUUUGUUUGGACACUUCCUAUGGUGCUGGGGUUGUUGCGACUGGAAAUAUAGUGUGUCCCGCAAUUCUGAAGACCAGCUUGGUGUCCAACAGGUAUGUCAUCUACUCAUCUUGAGUAUAGGGUUGACAUAGUUUAGUGACUGGCGUUUAGGAUGGAUUUUGAUUUCUACAUCAGUUAGGAGCCACAGUUAGGAUUUUGACUAACAUCUUUGGUUAGCAUGUACUACUGUUUCAGAAGUGAUUCAUCCUUUUUGAAAAAAAUACAUGUAGGCUACACUACGUUGUGAAUAUGAAAUCAGUAUCAGUUGCUGGCACUACACUAGACCUGCCCAGAAAUACUUAUUAUGGCGAAGGGAAAAGUGUUGCCAUUGACAUCGGGACGACAUUGACGUAUCUGCCGGAGAAGGUUUACAAUGCCAUGAUGAUUGAGGUAAAAAAGAAUACUUUUGCAUCAAUCUUCAUGCUGAAAAGAAAUGUCCUGAUCGAUUUCUUUUUGACCUUGCAGAUUUUUGAUAAACACCAAGGCACCCUUUUCUAUGACAUCCAGAACCUUCUUUAUAUCAAACAUUAUGGAAGGUAUGCAACGCUUUUAGUUAAUUUAUGCUAGCAUGCUGUAGUUCUAGAAUUCUGAUUUUUUGUAAUCUUUCUGUAGAGUGGAUGAUGUGUUUCCUGAAAUCACCUUACAUUUUGAAGGCGGCCUUGCAUUGAACAUUUAUCCACACGAUUACCUUUUAAAUAAUGGGGUAACAUCUUUUUUUCCUAGCUUUGGUAAUAUUGCACCUUGAUGUAACUAGUCAUUAUAUGGUUAAGAUUGCAUUUUAUUCCGGACAGAGUGAUUGGUACUUUGUGGGGCUGCGAAAUGGAAGAUCUCAACCUGUUAAUUUAAGAGACAUGGUGAUUCUAGGAGGGUGGACACUAUUUGUCACUAUAUCGUUCCUUGUUUGCUCCAUAUCCAUUUUUUUGAAUCUAAUGACACUAAACCUUCUUUUUAGAUAUGGCCUUUUCAAAUAAGCUUGUCGUCUUCGACUUGGAAAACGAAGCUGUCGGAUGGAUGGACUACAAAUGUGAGUUUCUCCACCUAAACUUUCCACUUUCGAUCAUUACAAAGUUUGGCUUUCAAUUGAGGUUUGUUAUAGUUACUUUUCAAAAAAAAAUGUUAAUUUCUCCAACCUCCGACCUGGCACAUCUCCGAAUCAGUCUCAUGUACGGUUUAUUUGGAUACAGGCUCCUCCGGCAUUAAUCUUGAAGAUGAGUGAAAAGUUGAGAGCCAGACUUCAAUGGUCCCGGUUGUUAGUUCAGUGAUGCAGGGUGGCUAGGCCGCAGUGAGACUGAGAGAACUCUGUUUGAGAACACUAUCGUAUCUGUACUGACAGUCUGAUGUGGCAACAAUAGCAGUGAGUUGAGUGAGGCGUGCUUAAUGCUCUUUGAAUUCUUUUAUUUGAGAAUGCGAGGAUGCGUAUAUUUCAUUAAAAAUAAGCUAGUGUCAUAAAAUGACUAGAAGCAACCUAAAGCGAAAGCUUGGAAUUAAGACUUGAACUAGGACCUAAGCAGUAAGGAGUAAGGCAACAAAAAGGUACCUAUUUGCAGUAAGCAGUAAGGUAACAAAAAACCACCUAUUUUACAAAAAUGCAUGUUCAUCCAUUUUUUGAAAAGAACAGCAAUAAUUGCCAAUAGGACAGCUAGAGGACCAUAAACACGUUUUGUUCUAUGUUCAAUUGUUUCCUACUGUUAAUCUAUAACAUAGCAACCGCAACCUCGUGAGCCAAUGAUGGACCAAAUCUCCAGAAUGAACCUGCAACCUGCCAUGAGAAGAUCUAAUGUCACAAUUUCUUGAUUGCAUAAAGCACAGGCCCAUUAUUUGGUAGGUUAUGCUGCUGGAAUAUUUCAGAAGUCCAAUAGCUGCCCGAAUAUUUGACAGAAUAGGGGGGUGUUACAUCAUCUCAUCAGCAUGGAAUAGUUGUCCCACGCAUCUUUAUGUUCAGCAUUCCGGAAGCCCCAGCAAAUGCUCUUUGAAUUCAUACAUAUAAUCCAGCCAUUCAGCUUGAACGAAGAUAGAUACAGCAGCGAGGCCACACUUCAACGGGUAGUGGUGUCAGGCAGACAAAUUGCAAUCAAUAAUAAUCCAUAGAUGCCACUGCCAGGUUGAUUUUGCACCUGAUUCCUACUGGACUACACGAUUACAUUUCAAACUCAACGAUCAGAGUUCAGAACGAAAAUGUGGCUGUAAACGCGCUUGGUAAUUCAGACCCGUUCGGCCUCAGGGCAUUGCUCGAGGCUAGCAGAUAGAGACCAAUGCUGCAUUGAUCUGCAAAUCUUAGGGACAGAUAUCCCGGGUGUAUCUUGACACGCAUCACAGCAGACGAACGGAACAUAAUCCUUGCUCAGAGACACAAAUUGCAGGUAAAACACAGCACGCACUAAAGAAAGCUAUUCAUCGAUCGAAGGACAGGAACUGCAUAGAUGCAGACCAAAGCCACAGGCUACAUCAGCCUUCACACCAAUUCCAGAUGCAGGAAAAAUAGAAAACGCAAUGGCUGCCCGGGGCAGCGCUCACGCCGCCUCGCCCUCAGCCGCGGCGGGGGCGGCCUCCUCCGACGGCGCCUCUGCCUUGGCGUCCGCGGCGCGGGACUUGACGAAGUCGAGGAGGCGGCGGCUGACCUCCUUGGAGUAGAACUGCAGCGCCUCGAUCCCCUCCUCCACGGAUGCGGCGGCCCCGCCUGUGGCGGCCGCGGCGUCGAAGGCCUCGGCCUCGAUGGCGCGCGCCGCGGGCUCGGCGUCGGCGGCCGGCACGGCGCCGUAGCGCUUGCAGAGGAUGGUGUCCCCCGCGAGCGUCUCCACCAGGCGCCGCACCACGGCGUCCCGCGUGCGCUGCGUCGGCGGCCAGAUGCUGAACGAGAACGCGGCGGCGGACUGGUCGCCGGGGGCCGAGGGGGCCGGGGCCGGCGCGGCGGCGAGCUCGUCGGUGGCCAUUGGCGUGGAAGCUUCUGGAAGCUGGAAACCCUAGGGAGGGAUGGGUAUGGACGGAGGCGGGGGGAAUGGGGAGCUCGAUCCGUUCGGUACUGGGCUGCGGCCUGCGGGGAUUUAAAAGCGGUGGCGUGGCUUCGGUGACGCGUCCUUGUAAUUGAGGAUUUGUUCGGGUAUUGCGGUGGCUUCAAGAAAGGGAAGUGCGAUGCGAUGGCAAUCGACAACGAAACGGCCAGAGCCAUUAUCGAUCGGUUGGUGGCUCCAACUCUACUCAUUAUCAGAUCGGGUGGUGGCGAGGCUUCGAUGCUCGUUUCGUUUGCUUUGACCAAUCGUUUCCCCUUUUUUUUCUCACGGUUUGAAUUUGAAUUCCAACGUUCAGAUCAGAUCGUCGUAAAUGGUAGGAAAUCGGGAUGAAUGCGGGUAAAUAUAUGGAUUCGGUGAGUUGGCAAUGUAUAGUCGUGGAUAUUCCUUUUCAAUUUGAGUUUUGAAUUUCAAGUUUUCAACGUUACGUUCCAUCCGGGAAUGGUAGGAAAUCUUGAUAAAUGCGAGUAAAUGCUGCGUUCUGAGUGGUGAUGUCCAAUAAAUUACUGAAUCAUUUUCGGAUCUCUGUGUUUUUUUUGUUGAGAUUAGAGUAUUAGACUAUUCGAGUGGCAAUUUCUUUCCCGUUGGCAGUAGCGCGAACGCUCGACGUGCCGAUCCCACCGGAGGCCGGUGGCCAUCACAACGCAGCAGCGACAGCAUUGGGCCUCGUUCUGUACGCUCUCGUACAGCCCCUGCCUGUCUGACUCUGACGGCCGGGGUGCCGGGCCGAACCUGCCCGAGCUCCGCCGAACGCCGUGCACUCGGCCGCCGCCGCACACCCGGGCGAUCGCGGCUGCGGGCCGUGCAGGUCGCAAGCCGCAUCACGGUCGGGUUCACGUCCUGCCGUCUCUCGCGGGCCGCGUCAGCCUCGGUGCCUCGUUCCCGUGGACGACCUGCAUCCACUGAGCGACCGCACCGUACCGGACGGACCAUGCUGCCAGUGCCGCACACCUCCACGCCACGCGCACCUGCUGACAUGCAGCCUGCAGCCGACGGCUGCGCCUGUUGUCUUGUAGUGUCGGUGGCGCAAGCUGGCAGCAUCCGCUUCUGGCUCUGCUUGUCCGACGAUUUUCACCGCACUCGCCGCUGCUCCGGCAUGAGCCUGAGCAUAUGCGCGUCUGAGACCGAAGGCGGAGCCAUCUUGUUUUCCGUUCUUGAUCGGGUUUGGUGAUCCUAGCAAGUUCCUGGAUGCUGUCACAGCUUGUGGCAAGGUAGCUUGAGGUUUAAGCGCCUUUUUUUCGCAGGAUGACAAAUGUUGCGCGUUUGGUUGUUUGAUAAGAUUUUUUGAAAACCCGUGUCCUACAUCCUGGGGUGAGCAGAUGAAGGCUGAGGGAGUGAGGGUUGGAAAUUCUUAUUAAAAAAAAUGUUUUGUUUAAUUUGCAUGAGCUGAUUUAAAAAAUAAUGAGAUUCUGUUCGAUUAGGCACACAAUCGCGGGGGUUCGAUCGCCCCUCCUUAGAUCAUUGGCACGUAGAUGGAAGUUGCAAUCAUCAAGAGGCAGAAGAAGCAGUGGUUGCAAUCAUCUCACUAAUUAUAUAUCUAUUAAUAAUUCCUAAUAGAAAGAACACAGCAUGGCACCUUCAAAAUGAAAAAGUAAUGCUAACCUACUCAAAUCUCAAAGGUUAUUUGCGAGAAGAACCAUAGACUCUAUAAUCUGUACUGAGACAAGAAUCUUUAGGUUGGAACUUUAUCAGGGUGGCGUCACUAACCUCGGUGAGUUCAACAAGUUGCUCGAACAAAAUUUCAAAGGGCCUUAGCUACUAUAUAAAUGAAUCUACGCCUAGUAUAAGUGUGAGAUUCUUUAUAACACGUCAAAAUAAGCGGUACUGGAUGAUCGCAGUUCUACGAUGUCGCAGAAAUUCCUCGCUUAACUCGUACCCAUCCAGCAGGACAAUGGCAUUUUUCCAGAUCUCGCCCAACUCUAACCCGGUACACCCUGCCGGUAUCCUCGCAAACUCCACCCGGGAUAUUCCGUGCAACCUCAGUUACCCGCUCCGUUCCCCGACGAAAAGCUCAAGAUCCGGACGUACAUGCCACGCCUGAGGCCUGACCGCCUGACGCCUCGCCACCCAGAGAAGAAGCUUCCUCUCGCCGUCGGCCACCGGUAUCCGCGCCCGUCCAACCCCGCGCCCGCACCCCGGCGCGGCACGGAUCCCACCGGCCCAAGUCAGAACAGCAGCUGCGCCCGGAAAUCGCCCGCCUCCGCUCUGCUCCGCCCACCAACACACACGACACCGCUGCCCUCCCUCCCGCCUCGCUGCCCACCUCCUCGUCGUCUGAUCGCCAUCGCCUCGGCUAGAGAACCCGCGGUCCACGCUCCCCUCGCUCCAAAUCCCGUCGCCAUAAAUCUCGCCACGCCCUCGCCCGCGCGCCCCCCUCCUCUCUCUCCCCAUCCGUCCCCCCGCUCCCGCUCCGCCGAGGAAGAGCAGCCAUGGCGGGCUCCGAGCAACGCGUCGUCGCCGUCAUCAUGGUUGGCGGCCCCACCAAAGGUCAGUACAGCUGCUAGAUCUGCGCGCCCACUGGGAGACAAACCCCUCACCUCGCUGCGCGCCGCGCGAACUCGCUUGCCUGAUGGAUUGGCGGCCCUGGUGCCGCUUUGUCUGGUGCAGGGACGCGGUUCCGGCCGCUGUCGCUGAACGUGCCCAAGCCGCUCUUCCCGCUCGCCGGACAGCCCAUGGUGCACCACCCCAUCUCCGCCUGCCGCCGGGUAAGCCGCCGCCAAUUCCUUCGUCCCCUCCUCCUCUGUGGAAUCGUGGUGCGUUCGUGUGUUGCUGUGCGCGCGGUUUUUUUUAUGAGAGAUGAGCUUUUGGAUACCGAUGCUGUGCAGAUCCCCAACCUGGCGCAGAUAUACCUCAUCGGAUUCCACGAGGAGCGGGAAUUCAAGCUCUAUGUCUCGUCUAUCUCCAACGAGCUCAGGAUCCCCGUCAGGUUUGUUUCGAGCCCUGCUAGCUGUUUGCUUCCGGUGGGUUGGCUUGUGCGCGAUUGGAGAUUUGAGAGCAGUGCCAUUGAGAGCGUGUUGUCAAUUCUAGGUACCUAAGAGAGGAUAAGCCGCAUGGGUCUGCUGGAGGGCUCUACAGCUUUAGGGAUUACAUCAUGGAAGACAGUCCGGUAAUGCCUUAUUGAUCUAGCUCGAUUGUCAGCUUGAAUUGUGAAAUUGGAUUAGAUAUUUAGAUUUAUUUUCUAGGGUAUUGUUUGCCGAUUCAGAACAUAUGCAGUUGCUGGGAUUUUGUAUUACAUUGUUAAGUUGGGUUGAUCAAGAAUUCUUCAUCCUCUAAAGCUUAGUUUUUUUUUCUGGUGGUUUUGCAGUCACACAUAGUUUUGCUGAACUGCGACGUCUGUUCUAGCUUCCCCCUGCCCGACAUGCUGGGUAAGUUGCCAAGUAACUGAAGUAUACUCUCCCAGCAUUUUAUCAUGUUGGUUCGCAUUAUCAGUUUGGUGAUGAUGUUUCAUGAUCUUAGACGCGUUCCUCUAACCACAAGCAUGGUUAGUGUAAUAAUUGAAUAUCAUGAGCUUGAGCUUUGCUGUUCAGAACUAUUACUGAAUCCAGUUGUCAUCAAGGUCAUGUCUGAAACUGUUCUUGUGCCCCUGAUGGAGUGUAGUGUGAGCAAGUGGUAGGAGGUGUAGUGGGUUAGUGUUGAAUAAAGCUGAACCGUGGGGCUUCUCACUGCUAGCUUAUUUUUGACAUAAUCAUUGGUUACAUACUUAAAGUGAUGCAAUCGCCUCUGAUGUACCUAUUGUAGAUUACGCGCUGUUCAAUCUUGUGGUAUGGCAGUUGUACGUCUCACUACUUAAUUUUAAAGUAUCGUAUAGAGCAUAUAUGAUGACAAAAUGAUCGGUCAUUAUGGGAAUAAUAGUUAAUAAGUCUGGUAUUCAAUUUAGUUGAGCGUGUUUUAAACUUACUUUAGUUGCGCAUAUUCAAUUAACCAUUGGAUACUAAAUUCUUUUUCACAACAGGGUAGACUUUCCAUUUUCAUUCAUCCGAAUUCAUGAAUAUCUAUCUCUGACAUAACUCAGAAUAUGAAACAGAUAUCUUAGCUUCUGAAUUUUUGUGAACUAAUACUUUUCUGUAUAGCUGCACAAUAACUUGUGAACUUAUAUUGAUGUUCCAUCUAUAAUUCUGUUCAUUGAUAAGAUGGACCAUCUGCAUAACUUCUGCAGUGUUGGUCAUUAUUGGAUACCAACAGCUAAAUUUUUCACUGUUCUCGCCAUUGCAGAGGCCCAUAAAAAGUAUGGAGGAAUGGGUACUUUACUAGUCAACAAGGUACGAUAAUACUAUUCUGAAACAUUGCAGAUUAAUCUGGUCUUUCUCAUGCAUAUUUGUUACUCCUAAUAUCAUCCCACUUGUAAUAGUAUAUGCUUACACAUUAAAUCAGGUAUCUGCAGAGUCAGCAAACCAGUUUGGCGAGUUGGUAGCUGAUCCUGAAACAAAUGAACUUCUGCACUAUACAGAAAAGCCUGAGACUUUUGUGAGUGCAGUUCUGCUCUUUGUUGUUUAAUUUGCUCCUCUAUAUUUUUAGUUGAGACUUUGCAUGCCAUAUUUGGAUUUAAAUCAAUCGCAACUAUUCACAAGUAAUGGUUCUCAAUGAAUAAUUAGCAUAGCUGAUGGCACUGAUGCAGUUUAUCUAUCUGUAGGUGAGUGAUCUCAUAAAUUGUGGAGUAUAUAUAUUUACUCCCAAUAUCUUUAGCGCCAUUGAGGAUGUCUUAAAACAGAAGAAAGACAGAGGUAUUGUCUGCUGUUAUCUAUUAUGGCUUCUUCCAUUGGAAAUGUAUGUUAUUGUUUAAACAGAACAUUCUUGUUUAUUAUAUGUCUUCAAAUGCUAACAUAUCUUAAAGAAGUAGAUGAGUAGAUGUAAAAUACCAUCUUUAUUUUUGUUGCAAGUCACAUGGAAAAAGUAUUAUUUUCUUCACCUAUAUUGAUAUUUUUAAUUGUUAGUUCUAACACGGAUGUUCUAAAAUGUGCUGCUUGUAGUAGAUAUUCUAACUUGGUCUUCUUAGUUCCCUUGAUUGACACUUUAUAUUUCCACCAUAAAGCUUAAUCCCUUAAAUUGCUACAUUUCAGCAAACUUGCGCCGUGUAUCUAGCUUUGAAGCUCUUCAAUCAGCAACCAAGUAUGUGUUUGUGAUAUAUUCUUCUAUUCAUGUUUAUGCACAUAUUCUUAUUACAAAACUUGUUUGGCAUACAGUUAUUACCUUUGGCUUCUCCAUUUUUGUUGUGGUUCAUUAAAAACUUGUAGUUGAUAGCACUGCCAUAAAUUCAAUUACAAAGUAUUUAUUGCUAUGUAAACCAUCUUAUAAGUUUAAUGCCAACAGGGCACUUCCAGCAGACUUUGUUAGGUUAGAUCAAGAUAUUUUAUCCCCUCUAGCGGGAAAGAAGGAGCUGUACACAUACCAGACACUCGAUUUUUGGGAACAGAUCAAGACCCCAGGGUAUACAGAUAUUUUUUUAUCCUGCUUUUCUUUAUAUUGGAAUUUCUGACUAACCAUUGCUUCAUCUUGAGUAGGAUGUCUUUGAGAUGCUCUGGGUUAUAUCUUUCUCAGUUCCGCCGUACCUCUCCUCAUCUUUUAGCUUCAGGAGAUGGCAUAAGGACUGCCACUAUUGUAGGCGAUGUGUACAUCCAUCCAUCAGCCAAGGUUCAUCCUACUUCAAAGGUAAUGUCCGUUUCAUCUACCUAUUUUGUUCAGAUUGUCAUAGAUCAUGUUCAAUUGGUUGUUGUUGACUGAUACUGAAAUGCUUAAACUUUUUAAUAGGAAUGUAUUCAAGAGACGAAAUGUAGCUAACCCUGUAACUCUGUAAACAGAUCGGUCCCAAUGUCUCUAUAUCAGCAAAUGCGCGUGUUGGAGCUGGUGCCAGGCUUAUCAAUUGCAUAAUUCUGGAUGAUGUUGAAAUUAUGGUUAGUUUUCUUUUUCUCUGUGCCAAGUGGUAAACCAUAUUUAGGAAAUAUCUCAUAGUUGUUUUCUUUCUUUCUUUUUUGUUUGUGUAUCAGGAGAAUGCAGUUGUUAUACAUUCAAUUGUGGGGUGGAAGUCAUCCAUUGGAAAAUGGUCACGUGUACAGGCAAGCUUUUCUCUUUAUCAUUCAUUUUUAUCCAGUUUCAAAUUUAAUGAAUCCUCAUUUUCUAUAAAUCUUAAUAACUUUACCUUAGAACAAUUUGUCAAGAUAACAUCAGUUGGCUUAAUGUAAAUAUAACUUCUGUUCUGAAUUCAGGGCGAAGGUGAUCACAAUGCCAAACUUGGUAUUACUAUUCUUGGUAAGACCCAAACUGGACAAUUUACUGUUGCUUUCACACAGAAAUCUUGGUGAUCAUUUCGUUUCUGGAAUUGACAUCCUAUAUUAACGCAGGUGAAGCCGUUGAUGUUGAAGAUGAAGUAGUUGUAGUUAACAGCAUUGUGCUCCCAAACAAAACUCUCAAUGUCAGUGUCCAAGAGGAGAUCAUCCUAUAACGGCCACCAUUUUUUUUCUGUUUAUUCCAAAUAAGGUCUGAAUACCAAUCACGUAGUUUCUGUUUAUUUGUUCUCACCACAUAAGCUUCCGUUAGAUUGAGAUUAUUAUUAGUCUGUAUUUGUACCCUUCUUGCAGCGUGAUACGGCACAAUCUUCAUGACUUGUUAGGUUGGCUAGUGUGGUGAUGUAGAAAAUGUACAAACAGUGAUGCCAUUUUUGUCGAGAAUGAACACUUUACCAUCAAAUGUCAGUUGUUCACCUGCUUGUUGUCCUUUGGAGUUUGGAUAUCCUAGUCAUCAGGUGACGCCAUUUUUGUUGAAAAUGAUUCAAUGGACACUUUGCUUUUAAAAGUCAGUUGUUUGCCUGCAUGUUGUACUUCCGAGUUUGCAACACCAUUUAUUUUCAUUCUUACUAAGCUAAUGCAAAAUAGCACUUAGGCCAAUUGUAUCUUCAGGUGGGCGCAUAAUUACAUUAUCCAAUGCGCUUCUCUAUGUUCACUGCCUUUCAGAUAACAUAUAUGCCACACGGUUCGUCAGUGCUUUCAGAGCAUUAAUUCAGUGAAAUGUGCAGACAAUGCUACUGGUUUGGUUGUAGUGCUAACCUCUGUACAAAAGCGCUUCAAUUGCGUACCAAAAUACCAAUGCGUACUGCCAAUGGGACGGGAACGGUAAGACCAGUAGCAGCUAUUUACAAAGUUGGGAAUGACACAUUUCUUGACCGAUUUAAAUUAUCCUAUGACCAAAAUAUUUUCAGCAUCACUUGCAGAGUUACUCCAAAAACAUUCUCCAGUCUUCAAGCUUCACUUAUUGCAGUCUUCAAAGAAAGAUGCAGGAAUUUCUUGUGGCGAUACCAUUGUCGACACACACCCGAACUGUAAACAUGUUUAAGCAGACAAAUUUUAACAGAAUACAGCACGCAGAAAACAACAACAAAAUUGAGAUAAUGGAUGUACCUUGGGGUCCUCGUACUUCUCUCUGAUUGCUUUCUGGUCCGGGCACCGGAUGCUCAACUGCAGUUCAUGUAUGAUGAAAAUGGAUUUCUGCAGAUCAAAGGCUUUAUAUCCCGUGUUACGUUGAAGCGUCAAGUUCUGGAAAAUCACGCACAAUAAAGUCAGAAAAAAGAGGUGUACAAACUAAUGUCAGAAAAGUAUGCAGCUUAGAUACAGUUGACAAUAAAGGCCAUGUUCUUACCCAAGGAUGAGUUCUUGGGCGGAUUGUGAACCUGGCUACAAACAGACAGGCAGCAGCAAGUACUGAUGGUAGAUAGCUUAUGCAGUCAUAGUCCAGCAAGCUCAAUUCUGCGAGAUAGCUACACAUGGACUCCAGUUUUUCGCUGCUUGUGCGCUGAACUUUCAAGGGAAAAAAUAGAUUAACAAAAGAAUAUAUAGGAAAGUACAAGUGGAUACUCCAAAAGUACACUUACAUUGCCUCCACGACAUGAAGCUAUGAAUCGCCUACAGCAGAUAGUUGUCAAGUAUUAGACUCUGAAAUUUGUUAGCACAGUAAGGCAAUAAUAGGAUUAUCACAAGAUUUAUGCAACACAAUUCACAUAUGUCGACCCCUUUUACAUUACCAGGGGAAGUUAUGUGAAAUGUGAAGCUCGUUCUAAGUCAAAAAAAAAUGAAGAAGACAUACCGUAGAAAUGUGGUUACAGUGGGACCCCCAAUCUCAAAGUUAAGAGAUUUCAGUAAGUCAGCCUCCAUCUUCACCACCUUUAUUGCACAUAAAACAGAAAUGUGUGCCUAUGAUCCAUGGCCCAGGGGAACUAACUAAGAAAUGGAAAAUUCAGCAGAAGAGAGGCUACUUGCUGUUUGGUGUAGGUGUUAUCCGUAAUGUCUGUGUAUUUGUUCACCUUCAUCUUAGAAGACUCAAUUUCUUCAUAUUUGCUGCACCAUUCCAAAUAUGCAGCUCAGAGAAUAGUUUUACAUGAUAAACAAAAAGGGUAAACAAACAGUUCAGUCCCGUACGCAGCAAGGAGUAAUGCAGUGACACCCAGCAGUUGCAGCUUGUUCCGAGUAACGACAUUCAUUGUGAGGAAGCGGUCAACAUAUGAAACUGCAAGGUAAAGAGUUUCUGCCUGAAGCUUGAAUUCGUCAGCCACUUCUACCAACCAGUCCACAAGGACAGCCCUCAUUUUGGGGGAGAUGGCUUUCUGGAUCUUCUGAAAAUAGUCAGGACUUGGCCUCCUCAAUGGUUCAACCUAACAAUCUCAACAAAAUAAGAGAGUCACACCUAAAUGGCUAAAAUUCCGCAUCUCAAUUGAUCAAAGGACAAAAUCUCUUGCAUUUUGUUCAAAACAGUGCUAGUAAGUUCAGUAAAUUAAGAUGACACGGGUCCUGAAGCAGUCACAAACUGUAGGUGGGCUGAAACAUAAGCCAAGAUAAUGGAAUUUAGCUCCAAAGAGUCAUUUUCUUUUGUGAAGCCACAACCUGUCGACCUACACUCCAGAGUCCAGUCUGGGACACUUAUCAUAGCUGCAUUAGCAAUCCUAGUUAACCACUUACCUAGCCAGCAGCAGCUAAAGCCUAAAACUAGACAAAAUGAACAUUUCACUCCAAUGAAAUUAAAAUCACAUAUUGCCCAAUCAAAUCAAAGUAUCAAACCGACCAAAUCUGAGCACUCAAGGCUACAGCAUGAUCACGCCUCCUCAAAUGCCUCCAUCACAUCAGCUAGCAUCACACAUUCACAGCCCUAAUCAACCAAAUCCAAGCACCAAAUACGCCCACGCGCAAGCUCCCCGGUCUCAGGGGGAACAAAAGGUACUAGUCGAGAAACCCUCACCUCCAACGACCGGAGGUACCGGUCGAUGUCCGCGUGGUACGGCGCAACGGCCGCCUGCGCCGCGCCUGCGUCCUGCCGCUUCGGGUCCAGAAGGCGGGCCACACCGGCCCCGCGCGCGGCGUCCCCAUCCUCCCGCCGCUUCCUCGCAUCCUCCGCCUCGGCCUCCGCCCGCGCCGCCGACCGCGUCCUCGGCUUCGACGGCCGCGGCGCCGAGCCGCCAUCCGUGUCCCGCCAUUCGUUGAUCGGCAGCUCCACCAGGGCCUUGCGCUUCCCUUGCGACCGCCGAAGAGGCGGCGCCGAGUGCGCGGCGUUCUCCUUGCUCUCCAUCACCUCCGGCUCCGGCUCCGGCUCCUGACGCUGCUGCCGGUGGCGAUGGCCGCCCGGAUCCGUUCCGCCGGUCGCCUUGGGUCUCCGCUGGGGUUUGGGGGGUUUUGGUCCGGGCGAAUGAACGAAUGAGGCGGCGUUCGUUCCGGGGAAGCUUGAUGCGGUUUGAAUUUUGGGGAUGGGCUUAUGGCGGGCACGGGGCAUCCGCAGGCCGAAAUGCGCCAAUGCGCCAUGUUCACCAUGACACACACACGGGGGACGUAGCGGUGUCACUGACUCGUUGGGCCCACAUGAAGCAAAUAGGAAACGCGAAAGUUCUGGAGAGGUCCUACAGUUUUUCCAGCCGGGAAUCCCGAUUCCUGAUCGCACAGGCGAUCGAAGGAAUACUGGUUCUAGUUCCUAUGAAAUUUUUUGAAGAUUAUAGUUCUAUGAGAAAAUUUCGUAUGUGAAUUUUUGGAACAAAGGAAUUUAUCUAUGAAACUAUCUCAAAAUUCAUAUGGAACAUGAAGCUAUAUGAAAUUUGGAGGAAACGGAACAUGAGGCUGGACUUUAUGGGAACUUCCCUUUGGAUUCACGCGUCUUUACUGUGUUGCAUCCAUAGGUUACUUUAGAAACUUUUCUGCAUUUUGAAUUCAUAUAGCACUGCAAGUUUGUUGCACCCCCAUUCCUGUAUUUUCUUUUCUAUUCAUACUAUGCUUUUAGAAUACUGUAUUCCAAAGGGACCUAGAAUACUUCUUCAGAUUUGUGCACACUCAUACGAUACAUGUCGGACUCUACAUGUCGUACAAGAUAACGUGUUGCCGUGUCCCGCGUGCAUCCCAUACGAACGAGAUGAAGGCCGCGGAGAAGAUGGAGAAGUGCAUGAACAGCAAUGCUGCUGCGUCGGCCUCACCCGCACGUAUCCAGAGCUUGCAAAACUGCCGUGGCACGACCGCACGAGGGGCGUCGACGCGUCGUUCGACGAGCAAGAACAAUAAUGAACCCAACCUAUCGGUUCCCCGACCUGAAGAGACGCCGCGGCCAGCAGAAAGGGCGGAGCCUGCUCGUCUUCCACCUCCUCCGAUUCCCGGAGCAGAGUCAGACAGCCAGCAAUCACCUCGCCAUCAUCAGUUAAAUAUAUACAAGAACACAUCAGUUAAAUAUAUACAAGAACCCAAUAAUCGCCAUGCCCAAGACGAUCCGGUACGACGCCCACAAGGAGCACCCGCUGGUGCUCGUCGACAUCGGCGGGAGCAGCGGCGGCAAUGGCCGCAGCUUCACGUGCGAUGGCUGCGGCUGCCGGGGCGCCGGCCCCCGCUACCGCUGCGGCGCGUGCGACUUCGACCUGCACGAGCUCUGCGCGACGGCCCCCGGGACCGCGUGGUUCUUCUUCCACGGCCAGCACCCGCUAGCCCUCGAGCUGGCCGUCGAGGACGGCGGCGACGGCAGCCCUCGCCACUGCGACAUCUGCGAGAUGGACAUCCACGGCAUGCACUACCGUUGCCGGCCCUGCGGCUUCGACGCGCACCCCGUCUGCUUGCAGCUGCCCGGCGCCGCCGUCUCGCCGCUGCACCCGGAGCACCUCGUGAUGCUCAGCGUGGGCGGCCCCGAGGAGUGCACGCGCUGCGGCGCCGACUGCGUGUGGCGAUACCGCUGCGGCGUGUGCGACGUCAACCUCCACCCGAGAUGCCUGCUGGGCACUGAUGAGACGCCGCUCAACAUCCCCAGGAGCAACUAGAUCCAUAAGAACCAUGAGUUCUCAAUGUUAAUAGGAUAAGGUGUAGGAUGACCGGUUCCUUCGGUCAGUUAGAUCUUGACAUAGUCUUUCGGCUACCACGACGUCCGUUAUUGAUGGACGUGAAUGGUAUGCUUGUACGUGUAUAAAACACACCUGAAAUGAUCAAUACAAUAUGUCGAUUGCCUCUCUCCCUCUUUCAUGGUAUCAGCUUAACCUUCGAUCAUAUUCUUGCGCUGCUCUUUCUGCAACAAUGGCUCACAGCCCUUCUUCCUCCUCCGGCGCCUCCACCGUGGGUGCCCAAGAUCUCAACCCCUUCCACGUUGCUGCACCCAUGCCGAUAGCCGCCUCCACAGUUCAACUUGUGAACAUCCGUUCCCAUGUGCCUGAGACAACUCCAACUACUCCGCCUAGAGCUCCUUCUUCGAACUGACCUUCCGCAAGUUCGGCAUCAUUGACCACGUCGACGGCACGGUUGACGCCCAACUCCACCUCCACGAUGUCGAGUGGACGCAGAUCGACCACUACAUCAUCUUCUGGAUCUACCUCACCAUCUCCAAGGGCAUCCGCGACAUGGUGUUCCAGCGCCGACUCCCUCUAGGUGGCGGUGCACGGCCUCUUCCUCAAAAACACCAUGCAGAGCGCCGUCUAUGUGCUACAGGACUUCCACAGUCUGUAUCAAGGUGAGCUUAGCAUCACCGAUUACUACUGCCAGCUCAAGAAGUUGGCCGACACGCUAGGCGAUGUCGGCCAUCCCAUUAGCGAUCAAGCUCUCGUCGUCAACACCUUGCGCAGCCUCAACUCCAAGUUCAGCUCCGCCAUCAACGUCCUCCGCACCAUCAACAACCCUCCUCCGACCUUCCUCUAUGUGCGCUCCUACUUGAUCCAGGAGGAAACGCGCAUUGAGUGCACCCACAAGAUGGAGGCAGCCACGGCUCUUCUCGCUGCCGGUUCCACUACUCCCACCGGCACGCCGUCUAAGCCGCCGUCCUCGACGUCGACAACGCCACACAGCUACUCCCCCACCAAAGGUGGCGGCGACCAUAAGAAGAAGCGCAAGCAGGGUGACGACCGUGGCUGCGGCACAUCCACGCCGUCGACAGGAACACAGGCGCCGAUGCAGUGGAACCACGCCAACAACCCAUGGACAGGCGUUGUCCAGGCAUGGCCCAUGCCGCAAUGGCGCACCACAGGCGUUCUCGGCGCCCGUCCCGGUGGUAGUGGCAGUGGAUCCCAUGCCCUGAUGGUGUCUGGCAACACAUCAGCUCCACCUAACAACAACGUCGUGCACGAUCUUCUCACCGCACUCCAUGGCCAACAGUUCAACUCCAACAACUACAACGGUGGCGGCGACACCGGCCCAUCUUCUCAUGUGGCAACACACCCUGGUAUUCCUCACAACCGUCCGCUCUCUCACAAUUCUUCUCAUAUUAUUGUCAGCAAUGGCGCACCUCUUCCUGUCACUCACACCGGUCACAUCUCCAUUCACACGCCUAAGAACCCAAUUCAACUUAAAAAUGUUGUUGUUUGCCCCUCUUUGAUAAAGAAUCUAGUCUCAGUUAGAUCUCUAACUCGUGAUAAUAAUGUGGAAUUUGACACUUUUCGAUUCUCUAUCAAGGAUCUGCAAACGAGGACGGUGCUCCUCCGAUGUGGUUCUGCUGGCGACCUCUAUCCACUCCGCCCCAGCACUGGCAACCACACCAACCACAACCUUCAUGUUGACAACACAUCCGCGCUCUGGCAUGCUUGCCUCAGCCAUCUGGGCAAUGCCCCCCUCUCUAGUUUACUUGGCAAUUUCAAUUUCUCUUGCUCAUGAACGGAGGACCACACGUGCCAUGCCUGCCGUCUUGGCAAGCACGUGCGUCUCCCGUUCACCAGCUCAAAUAAUGUUGCACCUUCACCUUUUGAUUUGCUUCACUGCGAUCUAUGGACCUCGCCUAUUUUAAGCAAUUUUGGAUAUCGAUUUUACCUUGUCAUUCUCGAUGAUCAUACUCAUUUUGCUUGGACGUUUCCGUUACGGCACAAGUCUGAUGGUUUGCCCACUAUACUAUGCUUUCAUGCUUAUGUCAAAAUACAAUUCAAAGCUAACAUCCGCAGCCUUCAAACCGACAAUGGCAAGGAGUUUGAUAACCACGACCUAAGCUCGUUUCUCUCUACACACGGUAUCAUCCUGCGCCUCACGUGCCCAUACACUUCGCAGCAGAACGGCCGUGCUGAGCAGGUCCUCCGCACACUCAACGACAGCGUCCGCGCACUCCUCUUCCACGGUGGCGUUCCCCCAACGUUCUGGCCUGACGCGCUCGCCACAGCCACAUACACGCUGAACUGCCACCCCUGUCGGCCACGCAACAACGCCACUCCCUACGAGCUUCUCUAUGGGCACGCUCCCACCUACGAUCAUCUGCACAUAUUUGGGUGCUUGUGCUACCCAAACUUGGCCGCCACUACUGCACACAAGCUCGCGCCACGCUCCGUCGCUUGCGUGUUCUUGGGCUACCCUGCGGACACGAAGGGCUAUCGCUACUAUAAUCCCACGACCCGCCGCGUCAUCGUGUCUCGGCAUGUCUACUUCGAUGAGCAGCAGUUUCCUUGCAGGACCACGGCGCCUCCAGCUCCCACUCCUCCAGCGGCUCUGCCCAUCUUGGAGCUCGUUCCAGCACCACCUCCGACUCGUCACAUUCCAACGCGCUGGGCACAUGUGCCUAUCGCCCAGGGGCCAUCCUCGACACCAGAGUCCUCAGCACCUGCGGCACAAGCGACUCUGGCUACAUCGUCCUUAGCACCUACGGUACCAGCGACCACCACAUCGCCCUCGACAAUGACGCCGCCGAAGUCCACGACCUCACCAGCGCCGAUGAUGCCCACCACCUCAACACUGCCGGCGACACCAUCAGCAUCGCCGGCAGCUCUCGCGAGCAACCCGACCGCUGCAACACCAUCCACAACGUCACCCAUGGUGUCUGGAGUGCCGUCCACCUCGACACCUACAGCAACGACCACAUCGUCAACUACGCAGCAGCCUCUUCACCACAUGACGACGCGUGUCAGGGCAGGGAUCUUCAUGCCCAAUCCUCGGUACGCUCAGGCUGCCAUGACGGUGGACGAUCACGCUGUGCCCUCCAGUGUCCGUGCGCCUUGCGUGAUUCAGCAUGGCGCGACGCGAUGCAAGAAGAAGUUGAUUCUCUUCAUAGGAACAACACGUGGACCCUCGUUCCAUGACCAAGCAAUGCGCCCAUCAUCACCAGCAAGUAGAUAUUCAAGAACAAGCUCCUUCCCGACGGUACAUUGGAACGACGAAAGGCUCGGUGGGUGGUACAUGGUUUCAACCAACGCCCCGGCAUCGACUUCAAUCAGACAUUCUCUCCCAUCAUCAAGCUUGCGACCAUUCGAACCGUCCUCACCCUCGUCGCCUCUCACCGGUGGCCUAUACAUCAGCUAGAUGUCAAGAACGCGUUCUUGCACGGCAAACUACAGGAACGUGUAUAUUGUCAACAUCCCACCGGGUUCAUCGACGAUCGCUAGCUCGACUACGUCUGUCUUCUCACGAAGUCCCUGUACGGCCUCCGUCAAGCACCGCGUGCAUGGUACCAACGAUUUGCUGGGCAUCUUCGUAGCCUCAGCUUUGUCUCCACGGGCUCGCUCUUCGUGUUUCACCAUGGCAACGACACGGCGUGGCUACUGCUUUACAUAGAUGAUAUCCUCCUCACGACGUCCUCGACAACACUUCUACAGUCCAGCAUUAAUCAACUUCACAGCUCGUUCGCCAUGAAGGACCUCGGCCCCGUACACUACUUCCUCAACAUCCAAGUCUAGCACACUGCCGAUGGCUUCUUCCUCCAUCAGCAGUAGUACGCGGAUGACAUUCGAAGAUGCCACGUUCUACCGGAGCAUCACCGGAGCCCUGCAAUACCUGACGUUGACCCGACCAGAGCUGGCCUACACCGUGUAGUAGGCGUGCCUGCACAUGCACGUGCCAAGGGACAUCCACUGGAACUUGAUCAAGCGCAUACUACGGUACGUCUACGGUACUACUCGGCAUGGCGUGCGUCUACGCGGCUCCUCGUCCACGGCGCUGACAGCGUACACCGACACGGAUUGGGUCGGCUGCCCGGACACACAGCGUUCGACGUCGGGUUUCUGAGUCUUCGUCAGAGACUCACUGAUCUCAUGGUCAUCCAAGAGGCAAGCCAUCAUCUCACACUCCAGUGCCUAAGCCGAGUAUCGAGGUGUGGCCAAUGCGGCUGCAGAGUGUUGCUGGUUGCGUAAUCUCUUGCGUGAGCUGCACUUACCCGUCAACAAGGCAAGCAUCAUCUUCUGCGACAAUGUCUCCGCCGUAUACCUCACAGAGAAUCCGGUGCACCAUCGCAGGACCAAACAUGUGGAACUCGAUAUCCACUUUGUUCGCAAGAAGACAACGCAUGGACAACUGCUUGUUCUUCAUGUACCAACCAAGCACCAGUUUGCAAAUAUAAUGAUGAAGGGUCUUCCAACGGCGCUAUUUGAAGAUUUCCAAGAUAGUCUGUGCAUCAAAUCAGCCGAUGUACUGGCUGAGGGGGGGUGUUAUAAGGUAGCAUGACCGGUUCCUUCGAUCAGUUAGAUCUUGGCCUAGUCUUUCAGCUGCCAUGAUGCCCGUUACUAACGGACGUGCAUGGUGUGCUUGUACGUGUAUAAAACACACCUUGGAUAAUCAAUACAAUCUAUCGAUUGCCUCUCUCCCUCUUUCACUCAAAAGUACGCAUGCUAAGAAAAGUUUUCCGAGUGUUUUCCUACGUGGUUUGGUCUUGCAGCUCUUUGUUUCCACGUCACAAGAGAUAUUCAUCUAAUUCUACAUGCAGCACAUUAAGACCCAUUAUCAUGUUCCAAUACUUCGCAUAUCAGUAUGACACUAGAAUGCACCUCCAUGGAAUGGAUUUUUUUUUUUUGGUGUGUGUGUGUGUGGGUGGGUGGGUGGGGGGGGGGGGGAUCUAUGAUAGACAAUAUGGAACAUAUAUAGAAGAUAUACUGAAUUGUGUCAUUGUUAGCUUGACAGCAGCUAUGAAAGCAACAUGACCAAGUGUGGACGCGCAAGAUAAAUCUGUAGCUUGAAACUUUCAGGGAACACAUCAGAGUACAGAACUAAGGAAAAUCCAAUAAUGUAUUCACCUCGUAAACAAAAUUUAUCAUCACUAAUUCAUGGUCGUCAUCGUCCAAAUGUAUAUGCUAAUCUGCUCUCAAUAUAUCAAUAUCAGCUCCAUCACCAUUACUGUGCCUGCUUUCAGCUGCGUGAUGGAGCUUUUGGCAAUCUUCAGGUGCCAGCCGACCAAAUCUUGCCAUCUUUUCAGUUAACCUGGCAAUAGAUUCUUCCUGUUUGGCAAGCUGCAUAAGUAUCUUUAUCCUUCUAAAUGCAACAUUGCUGGGCUUUUGCCCCAGCUCAACCAUUUGAUGGAAGCACCUCUCCGCAUCCUCCAACUUCCCCUCAUCGCACAGCAAGUCAAAUAGCACAUCUGAUACCAAGGUGAAUGAUCCAAACCCAUUGCUAACCAUAUCACUCCACAGCUCAAGUGCUUGAGCCACCUCCCCAUGCCGACGGCACAGCCUUAUGAUGAACAUGCAAGAUUGUGUGUUUAGGAAGCAUCCUUCAGACCGCAUCCGCUCAUACAACCGCCAUGCGCUGCCAAUAUCGUACGCCCAGUAAUAGCACCUGAAGAAAAGGUUAUAAGUCGUGGGAUUCGGCUUCAGUCCCUUUGAGGCCAUUUCAUCCAUCAGGGCAAACGCAUCACCAAGUCUCUUUGCUAUAACAAAGUUCCGUAUUGCAGCGUUGUAUGCAGGGAUGUCUGGGUAGCACCCGAGUUCAUGCAUCUCCUUCAGCAAGUCCUUUGCCUUGUCAGGUUGGCCAAUCAACCCCAGCCCACCAAUCAGGCUCGUGUAAGUGAUCACAUCAGGGGAAAUGUCCUUCUCCCGCAUUUCGUCGAGCAGCUUGUAGGCCUUCUCCACGUCCUUGUUCUUGCAAUGGCAAUCGAUCAAGCUGUUAUAGGUCACCAGGUCGGGCUCCACCCCAAGCUCCCGCAUCUCGGCAACGAACGCCUCGGCGUCCUCGGCCGACUUCCAGCCGGAGAGCAGGAUGUUGAAGGUCUGGCGGUUCACCUGGAACUCGUAUUUGAGCGCGUGGUAGACAUUGCGCGCGUCGGACAUGCUCUUCUCCUGGCAGAGCGUGCGGAGCAGCGCAUUGAAGAGGCCGGUCGUGUCGGCGCGCCGGAACAUCCGCGCGAGGCGGCGGAAGGAGUCGACGGUCUCGCGGACGGAGCAGACCUUGGCGACGCGGCCGAGGACGACCAUGGCGGUGCGCGGGGAGACGGCGUUCGGGCAGAUGCGACGGGUGGAGUCGAGGAGGUCCCACAUAUGCGCGAACCGGCGGGACCGGCCGAGCACGUAGAGCGCGGUGUCGAUCGUGAAGGGCGAGGGCGCGUCGGCGGCGAGGGAGAGGAGAGAGAGAGCGCGGAGCGGGUCCCCGUGCGCGAAGCGGAAGCGGCGCAUGACGGCGUCGAGGAGCGGGGGCGUGAGCGGGACGGCGGAGGCCGCGAGCGCGGACUCCAUCGCGGACGGCGUGGGCGCGGACGUGACGAUGCGGUACACCGCGUCGGCGUCGGCAUCGGACGCGGGGGCGGCGGCGGUGGAGGUGGCCUCGGGUGCCGCGGACGGCGCCGCUGGCUUGCGGGGCUUGGAGACGUAUCGGAAGAGCCGUGGCGCGGGUUUGGGUGGCAUUUUGCGCGAGGCGGCCGGCGAUUGGGCAGGCGUCGUCGCGUCGCAGGGGCGGAGCGGCUUCAGCGGCUGCCGGCUGGGAAAGGGAGAACUGAGGACGAGCAGCUAGAUCUCGUAAUGGGCCUGUAUUCGCUGCGUUUCUUUUGGGCCUGUUUAUGGGUCAAAUUCUGCCGGGCUUUGCGCGUAUCAGUGUAUGGGCGGAAAAGCGUAGAGUUGGGGUAGCAGACAAGGAGACAACGAAAGGCAAGUGCAAAGCGGCCAUUUUGCAGUCCAUCUCGAAACCUCCUAUGUCCAACAGUUUUAAGUUGCAAUGCUUGAAACCAGAUGACGCUUCCCAUGCAACAUUGACCCUCUCCGCAUUGUGCGCAUAGCCAUUCCAUCCACACACAUGGCGGGAUACAUGUAAAAGAAAAAAGGCAAUGCCACGUGUCAUACACAGAAAGUAACUGAUAGAUCCAGUACUACGCAGUGGGGGGAAUAACUACGUGUUGCUGCGAAAGAAGAGGUGUUUACAGUGAGGAAGAAAUUCUUCAGAAAGGGCGCGGCUUCAAGGAGAUAGACAGUCCACUCAAGGUCGCAUUCAGCAAAGAUGUUGGAGAGAUACAAAUCCGUCAGGUUGCCAAAGACAGGUUGGACCAGCUUGGGGUCUUCCGGUUUAAUCCAAAUCUGAAACAAGCAAUCAGCAAAAAAUUGAAAUGGCACAAAUUGAACAACCGUGACGCCCAGCCUAUUGAAUCAGGGGCAAAUUAAAAAAGGAGGAAUCCAAGCAUUCAUACCAUAUAAUCUUGGAAGUCUAAUCUGACAGUUUCCAGCCUCGUGCCCGACAGCCAGUCGCUCAGCAUGAACGGUGGCUGCCAAUUCAUGGCAGCACAGCCAAAAUCAAUGCCCCGAAGGCUUGGGACGUGGCCGAAAACAACCGGAGGGCUUUCACGCGUCCAGGUAUCGUAAACACACACGCACGAGCUUAGGGACCCGGACGAGCUCGAUUCGCACGUAGCUGCAGAAUUCAAACACCAAUUCCAUCAGCCGAGACCGUGGCGCGUCGAUCCGCAGAACGGAUGGCCGGCCAGAAUCGCAGGAAUUCAGCAGAUUCGGCACAUCGGGCUCGUCGAAUCUCAUGUUCCGAACAGAGAGGCUUCUAAGACAUCUGAACGCGUAGGGGUAAGAGCCGAAGAACCUGCAGGUCCUGUAGCUCCGUCACCACGAUGAACUCGAGGAACUUGGUGUUCCCACGCUCGAGGACGCUGGUCACCGUGGAGCCAAUGGAUUCCAAGUGGGGAUCGGUCAGGCAGAAACGGAGGCGCAAGAGGUUGAUGGAUCGAUCAGCCGUGGGAGCCAACAACCUCUUUGUCGUUUCGGUGUAGAGAUCCACCAGAUCGUUGAGUUGGCUCGUCGCUGAAGUCUCUGUUCGGGGUUUGAAUCCGUCGACAUGAAUGUAAAGGUUUGUGAGCAGAUAAGGAAGCUGCUUCCUCCGCGUCGAGAGGGUGCUGGCCCUCAUCAGAGUUCUCAAGUCAAGGCGGUGCAUGAUAUCGACAAGAAUAUGGUCGGGGAGCGCGCUGAGCCUAUCGUCAUCUUCGGUUCCGUUUUUCUAGUGGCGCAAAGAAAAGAUAACAGAAACAUUUAGGGCAUUAUACAAACAAUUAGAACAUUGUACAAAAAAAAUUAUAAGAAAAACAGAAACAAUUAGGGGAAGAGGACGUGAACCCCAAAAAAAGAACUAUAUUUGGCGUGUUAGGAUUUUGUAAUUGAUCGGUUCGAAAACGUUGCAGCCAAAUGCGAGGGUGAGCCUUGGUAAAAAUUCGAGAGAAGGUAGGGGGACUUACAUUGUUGUGCGAUGGAGACGCCAUGAUAAGAGGCAAAAGUAACAAAAUAAUUCGUAGGAUCCGAAGCAGUACGAAUAAAACCGAUUACGUUCGGUGGUGCUUUAUACUAUUGGCCUUGAGGCCACAAGCACAAUAUUAGGCCUCUAAAUCAGCCCACGGAAACACCUCUAAAACAGCCAACGGAAACUCGGAAACGUAUCUGAGAACAACGAAGGUUGAUUAUCUAUCGGAUCGGAAGAAAGUUUGUAGCGAACAAGGAUUCGAAGUGCAGCCGACGAUGUGCAGUCGAGUUGCUGCAAGGCGCCGACGAUGUGCAGGAAAGAGUUGGUGAGCCUGACGGUGCAGACGAACAUCAACCUCCCCAUUCCUGUGUUUUCAAUAAUAUCAGCCUCAAGCUUACAAAGGAAAUUAACAAACUGUGAAUCAACAAUUGCUGAGAGGGCAGAGUCUUUGUCUCAUCCUUCCUAAAUCUCUUGGAAACCUGGCAUGCCAUUUGAGCUUGAUCAAAGGCAUAACCGGUCCCUCUCACAGCUAGCACCUAGAACCGCAGCAGCCAGUCCACUAACACAAGCAGAAUUGUGUUGUACUGUUGUUCGGAUGCACUGCUGAUUCCGAAAGGCAAUGGACAAUUCAACAUCUUUAAACAAUCGAAAAGCCACACAAUGAGUUGCUGAAUACAGGUUGUGUUCUCUAUCAACUAAUGCGAAUAUGCAAUGGCAAAUCCAAAUGUUUCAGAUUGGACUUCAUUGGUAGGAUACGGAUCAAGCAUUUCUUACAUAUACAUCCACAAAAUAAAGGAUUUCUUAUAUAGCAGAAUACUACCUACUUACGAAUUUCAUGUCACAAGCACCUAAGACUUCAAUCACCACAGUACCACACGCAGAUAACGAAGCAUUCAAUCAGACAAGCAACAAAAGAGCAUAAAGGUAGCAACAUCUAACUGUAGUUUAUAAAUCGCUUAAGAUUUCAUUGGCGCGAGAAUAUAAAUCAUGAUCCAUCACAGGCAGACCAAAACACUUCAGAAUUUAGGGCAAAACAGAUAGGUUCAAGACUAAAUUGCCACAACAGCAACCACUGAUCUAAAACAAGUUUGACAUAGUAGCAUGAUAACGACGAGAGGAGAUACGCGAUCAAGAGGCAACCACUGCAACCCGGCCG
rnacentral:lncRNA from 1 species